CUCAUCUAUGUUACAAGAUAGCUAUUCACCACUUUGAGGUCUGAAAUAAAACAUAACAGCACUCUUAGGCUCACUUUGAGGUCUGAAAUAAAACAUAAUAGCACUCUUACAUGAUUACCACAUAGCUAUUCACCACUUUGAGGUCUACAGGUCUCAGGCUCACUUUGAGAGGCUAGCAGAUUUGCUUACUUCAGAUAUUUUGAAGCCUUGUACCAAGCCACAAGGAGCAGGGUUGCAUCGGUCUUACUGCCAAUGAUGAUCCAUAUAAUGCUAAUGAAAUGAGCCCAAGUAACCAAAGACAAAACCAUGUUUCAGCAUCGAGAAAAAAAAGCCUAUUUCCCUCCCAAAAAGUGAAGAAGCAAAAACUGGUAAACCUACAUUUGUAGAAAUAAAAAAAAUUCUCGAACGUGCGGGAGAGCUGCGCAUCAUUAUAUUAAGAGAGGAAAGGUCCAAAGUGGACCGAAAUACAACACCCAGAGGGCAGAAAAGAAAAAAGAAAAAAACAUACCAAGACCAAACCCUCAAGCAUCCUCUCCAGCACCCCAACAAGGUGAAACCAAAAAAGGGGGGACCUGACGGGCCCUACUAGACCCUAUUUAAAGUGACAAUAAUCCCCAAACUGUCUAAAUGCUUCGCUCCCACCUUAUUCCAACUGAUCAAUACAUCUAGAAACAACCUCUUAGUCGAACUAAUGGAAGGGCUCACUCCAUAAAAAACAGUUCUAUUACGAGUGAGCCAUAAGCACCAAGCUCCAAGAAUAAUGACAUUAUUGAAGCCCUUCCUCUUGCACCUAUGCAUUUUUUUAGAAACCUUCCCCCACCACACAGCAAAUGAUUGUUCAGCAACAAUAGGAGUGAGGUUACCAAGGCCAAUGGACGACAAAAUGAGAUGCCAAAAAUCCCUAGAAAAACUGCAGGUGCAGAGGGUAUGUUGGACUGUUUCCUGCUCCUGAUCACAAAGGGGACAACACACCGGGUAUUGUAACCCUCUCCUUUGGAGUCUGUCCGCAGUCCAACAUUUAUUCCUUAUAGCCAACCAAAGGAAAAACUUGCAUUUAGAGGGGCCCAAGUCUUCCACAAUCGUUUCCAUGGCUCAAAGGAAAUGGACCCCAAGAAGAAGGCAUUGUAACAAGACUUUGAGGAGAACUGCCCAGAAGCCGUGUGUCUCCAAACAAGCCUGCCCGCGACCUGUGAAAGAGUCACCUGUCCAAUCACAUCCCAUAAUUUUCAAUACUGCUGCAGCCCAACCAUAGAAAGAUGACUCCCAAUAUCCCUAACCCAACGCCAGUUGUCCAUAGCCUGAGCAACCGUCCGGGUCGAGCUGACUCUACUGUCCACCAACAGACAACCUCUGGUGCAAUAUCAAAGAUAGCCUUCCCAUUCAACCAUUUAUCAAACCAAAAGAGAGUGUUGGUCUCAUCUCCGACCACAUGUAAGACCGAAAGAUUGAAAAAUUGUCUUACUUGCUGCUGAAUAGGAAGAUUCAUUCCUUGCCAUGGUCUGGAUGGAUCAGUUUUUUGCAGCCAUAACCAUUUCACCUGUAAAGCCCAACUUUUGAAUUGUAAAUUAGAAACUCCAAGGCCGCCAUAUUUUAGGGGCCUGGUAACUAUCUCCCAAGGAACAAGACAGCUUCCACCGUUAACGUUCUUCCUUCCUUUCCAUAGAAACCCCCUCAUGUUCGAAUGUGGGGGUGACAUUGAGAUGGUGGCUGGACUGUGAGGUUCCGCGGCAAGGGCGUCAGUAUUUAUAGGCGGAGGAACGCGGUUUAUAAUGGAGUCUUGACCAGCGUACUGUGAGUGGUGACGUUGCCACAGUGCAGUCGCAACAUCCUGAGGUUGGCAGGGUAACUUGGCUCAUGGUGGGGCAUUCAUUUAGUUGUGAUUGUGACAAGUGACUGGCGGGUGCUCAGGCGGGUGCACGAGGUCUUGCCGGAGUGGCUUUCUGCACUGAGGUAUCACUUCAAGGUCUGCAACCUGACACUUUAAUAUAGCAGCUUGGUGUGCACGACAAGGCUGUAUCAGGGCAUAGGGUGUAGGUGGGGCUUGCUAGGAUGCACAAAAGCCAAGGCGGCUAGAGGCAGGCUUACGAUUUCUUUACGCAUGUGUUUUGCCACAGGUGGUAGUGGGCUCCCUCUGCCUAGUGUGCGCUAUGGCGGGCAGGCAUCAGACGUUUUCAAGAAUUUACCAUGGUGAAAUACAAGCUUAGGCUAUAAUUUAGAAGAAUAUCGAGGAAUAAGCGAUAGAGGCAUUGAUUUGCAUAGUUUGGAUUAGGCUAACAUAGCAAUCAAAAAUUUUGAAUAAGCUUUAUUCCAUAGGUGAAAAUUGGGAUGUUACAGGUUAGGGUUAGAAAUAAAUAAUAUUGAAUUCGGAGUGCGGAAGAUAGUUCCUCUUGCUAUGAGUUGCUCAAUCAAUGCAGAUAACUUUGGGAGCCAACUCAAAACAAUAUGAGCGAGAGAACUUUAGAGAUAGGAGAGGAAGGAACAAAUCGAGUGAUGAAGAUCAACUCAAAUGAACACGAUGAUUUGUUUCCCGAGAUUCGGUUCCAAAGAACCUACUCCCCGUUGAGGAGGCCACAAAGGCCGGGUCUAUUCUAACCCUUUCCCUCUCUCUCAAUCAGUCACUUAGACCAGUCGAGUGCUUCUUCUUAAUCACACGGGUCACUAAGACUCCGCAAGGAUCACCACACAAUUAGGUGUCUCUUGCUAGCUUUAGAAAGCACUUAGAAAGAAUUAGAGUGAGAAGAAGAAAGCAACCAAGCAACAAGAGCAACAAAAAAACACAAACCACCCUCUCUCAAGUACUUGAUUUGAUUUUGGAACUUGGAGAGGAUUUGAUGCUUUGAUCGUGUCUUUGGAAUGUAUUCUUUUGCUCUAGUAUUGAAUGGAGAAGUUGCAAUGCUUGGAUGACCUAAAUGGAUGUGGUUGGGGGUAUUUAUAGCCUCCAACCACUUUCUAGCAGUUGGCAGACUCUGCUGUCGAUGGGCACACCGGACGGUCCGGUGGUGCACCGGACACUGCACUGUUUACUGUCCGGUGCGUGCCACGUCAGCCGACCGUUAGGGUUUGGAGCUGUUGACCGUUGAAGUCUUCUGUCCUCUUACGGCACCGGACAGUCCGGUGGCACACCGGACAAUUCGGUGCGUUCUAACUUUGCAGACUGACUUCUGACUUCUGCUCUGCUGACUACGUUGUAGUCAACACAGUUGACCAUUGGGCACAGUUGACCGUUGCUCCGUUGUCUCACCGGACAGUCCGGUGGCACACUGGACAGUCCGAUGAAUUAUAGCGGACGCGCGCUGAGAAAAACCGUGAGCGGCCAAUUAAGAGAUAAACAUCUAGUAUUUCUUGCAUACAUAAUAAACAUAAAUCAUAGAUUUCAGCAAAUAAAACCUAGGAAAUAAUCGAGCAAGAUAACAAACAAAUGGAUAUCUAUAUCAAUUACUAAGAAACAUAAAUCACAGAUUUCAGCAAACAAAACAUAGGACAGAAUCAUGCAAGAUAACAAACAAAUGGAUGUUGUCCUCCCUGAACAGGAGCGACGGCGUAGCUCUGGUACGAAACCUUGGUAUUGGUAAGAAUAUUAGUCAAUUUAGACACAGGUCCAAAACACAGGUAAAUAUUAGAUUCAAGCAGCUAACCUGCCUACAAGAAUAAGCAAGAAGAAAUUAUGUAGAUAAAUAUGAAGGUAGUUUGCCAAUUAUUUCUUCUUAUUAAACGGAUGCAACUUCCUCGCCAGCCGUGUGUUCCACGUCGCCAGAAAAAUCUUGGUCGUAUGCGUGUCCACUUCUCAUUCACAUCUUGGCCGCACGCGUGUCCAGUAGCUGUUGCAGCUUUACCAUGACAGGGCACAAACCGACCCGUCUAGAAGGUGUCUAGCAGGGAGGCGACCUUUACUGUGCCGCUCCAGGGCUCCAGGCUCCAUUCUCCACCUCAGUAAAGAAAGAAAAAAAUCAACGACAGGGCACAAACCGGUCAUGUAGAAGGUGUGUGGCAGGGAGGCAGCGCCGCCGCCAUCGAUGACAGCGACACCGUGGCUUGCUCUGCACCCUCCCGCGACUGUCGCUUAUCCACGUAAAGAAAUGCUUUCCAUGCUUCCCUUCGCUUCCUGUCGUUCGCUGCUUACUGUAGCUCCCGCAUUCGUAUCGUCGUUCGCCGUGCUCCCGUCCGGCAAACACACAUCAUUUUCCCCUUUUCCUACGAUAUUGCAUAAGUGAUGUGUGUUUUUCUCCUACGGAUGCUACAAUCUGUGCUUACUGUAGCAUAACCUAGGCAUGUUUUUCUCCUAAAAAAACACUGCAACAUCUAAGAGCGGGUGUUGUGCAACUGCCUUUGCCUUUUGCUGCAUGCGCCAUCUCCACUCACGAGUUCGUAACAGUUCCAAUACUGGCUAAAAGAUAUGCUUCUCGAUUCUUCACACCCUAAAAAAGGAGUUUAGGGGUGCAAUAUUUUCCUAGAAAAGAAAGAAAGAAUUUUUGCUGACCUUUCUUAUUUUGAUAUUUUGAAGGAUAUGUUCUUUUUUUUUAUGCAGUCAGGAAUAACUAUGUCAUUUCAUCUUAUGGUGUUGGCUUCCAAAAGUUUUUUUAUUCAUACUUUGAAUAACAUGACCAAGUACUCCCUAUGUCCCAAAAUAGUAAUCGUUUUAGCUCUUGAUUUUUGUGUCCAUAUUCAAAUAGAUGAAGAUGAAUCUAGCCACAUAUAUAAAAUAUAUACAUCAAAUGUUGUAUGAACCUAUUAAUUAACUAAAACGAAUUUUAAUUUAGGACGGAUGGAGUAUCUUUUAUGAGUUUGUUUAAAUGGGGUACUUAAACAGGGAUAAUGCUUAAAAGUUGACCACAAGUGUUAGAUACUAUGUAUUCAUACCUAUCCUACUUCUAUUUCUAUCUACUGCUACCACGUGACCAAAAAAGCAAAGACGUGUAUCAUAAGUAUAACAUCAUACAAUUAUUUUUUUUCUCGAAACACGCAGGAGAGCUGCGUGUAAAUUAUAUUAAGAAAGAGAAAGGUCUGAGAACAGACCAGGGUACAGACGACUCCUUACGGAGGUCGAAAACACAAAUACAGAAACACACUCAUUCCUUAUCUAUGACACAACAGCAGGCCCUCCUAAACUUAAGGCCAUAAGCCCCUAAGCCCUCUAGCCCCGGCCAUACCCCACAGCGUAGCAUCCUCAUGAAUGUGCUGCAGGAUAUCUCUAGUGCUCGGGGAAGCUCCCUCGAAGACACAAGUGUUUCGAUGUUUCCACAGCCACCAAGCCAAAAGGAUUACCAACGUGUUAAAACCUUUUCUCUUCUCUUUAGGAACCUGGCCUUCAGCAUUGCUCCACCAAUCUUGGAAAAUCAUGUCCUCAGGCCCAGGUGCCAGAUGUUGCAUCCCCACUUUACACCACACCUGCCACCAAAUGUUUCUAGAGAACACACAAGAGAGCAAAAUAUGCUGGAUUGUUUCUUCCUGUUGAUCGCAAAAGAGGCAAUUGUCAUGAUGAUCCAUACCUCGCCGGGCCAAUCUGUCAGCCGUCCAACACCGGUUGAGAGAGGCUAGCCAAAUGAAGAAUUUACAUUUGGGAGGAGCCCAACUCUUCCAAAUUCUUUUAGCCGGCUCAAAGGAUGUUGUACCGUUCCAAAAGCUGUUAUAAGCCGUCUUAGAGGAAUAAAGGCCAGAAGCGGAAGGCACCCAAAUGUGGACAUCAGGAACUCCUGUCUGUAAAUGAACAUCCUGAAUUAGAUCCCAAACCAGAAGGAACUCCCUGAUGACAACAGCAGUCAGACCCCCAGAGAUAUCCUGAAUCCAACUAUUAUCAGCAAGAGCCUCCUGCACAGUACGUCCUGUCCUGACCCUACUCGGAAUACGACUGAAUAGGUAAGGGGCAAAAAAUGCAAUAGAUUGUCCUUGAAUCCAUCUAUCCAUCCAAAAGAGGGUUGUGGCACCAUCCCCCACAGAAGAGCGAACCGAGGCCCGAAAGAGAGCUUCAGCAUUUGGAUGAACUUUUAUGUCAAACUCAGUCCAUGGUCUCUCUACCUGUGUUUUUCUGAGCCAGAGCCAUCUCACAUUAAGAGCCCAACCAAGGAUUUCCAGGUUGUGAAUACCCAAGCCGCCGAACUUAAGCGGACGACACACCCUUGUCCAUCCAACAGCACAAUGGCCUCCCUUGAUAUCUUUUCUGCCCUUCCAGAGGAAACCCCUGCGGAUCUUGUCAAUGGCUUUGAUAACCCAUUUAGGGCAUAAAAGGACAAGAAGAUGGUAUAUAGGAAUGGCAGUCAGGACAGCCUUAACCAAAGUCAGUCUUCCAGCAUUGGUGAUCAGGGCAGAUUUCCACCCUGGCAAUUUGUCAGCCACCUUGUCAAUAAGCUCUUGAAAAGCAAACCUUGGAAGCUUCUUUACCGAUAGAGGCAGUCCCAAAUAUCUACAGGGGAACUGCUGCACAUUACAAGGGAAAAUCUCCUUGGACAUGACAACUUGCUGCUCAUUACAAUGUAUGGGUGUGAUGCUACAUUUGUUGAUAUUUGUGACAAGACCUGUAGCUUCCCCAAAAAUCCUUAAUAUUUCCUUCAGCAAAUUGAGCUCAUCAAUUUCAGGCUUUAAAAACAGCACCACAUCGUCUGCAUAUAAGGAAAUGCGUUGGCCCCUACCGCGCCUUAGAAGAGGUUGCAACAAACCCAUAUCUUGCGCCUUCAGUAUCAGCGAGUUGAGGACAUCCAUAACAAUGAUAAAGAGCAUAGGGGACAGGGGAUCCCCCUGCCUAAGGCCUCUUCUGUGAUGAAUAAUAUCUCCAGGCUCUCCAUUAACCAAGACCCUAGAAGUGGAAGAACUCAGGACCCUUGAGACUAUUCCACACCACAGAGGACCAAAACCCAAAUGCCUAAGAACCUCAAAAAGGAAGGUCCAAGAGACCGAGUCAAGAGCCUUUCCAAUGUCCAACUUCAAUAAGAUUCUAGACAUUUUUUGCCCAUAAAUAGCCUUGGCUGUUUGCUGCACCAUGACAAAAUUAUCAUGUAUACUUCUACCUUUCACAAACGCACUUUGGUUCACAGAGACCAAGUCAGGGAGCUUAGGAGCAAGUCUAUUAGCCAAAAUCUUGGUAACAAUUUUUGCAAAACUGUGAAUUAGGCUUAUUGGCCUGAAAUCCUUCACCUCAAUGGCCUCACUCUUCUUUGGCAACAAAGUAACAUAGGCUGAGUUGAGCAGAUAUAAUCUAGAAGCAUCCCCCUGCCAAACUUUCAUCAAGGCUGCCAUAAAAUCCAUUUUGAUGAUAGGCCAAACCUUUUUAUAAAAUCGACCUGUGUACCCAUCUGGCCCCGGAGCCUUGUCAGAAGGAAGCGACCUGAUGGUGUGCCAAACCUCCUCCUCGGUGAUCAUCUGCUCAAGUUCUUGGAGGUUCAACGGACAUCUAUGAAAGGCUUCCAGAUUUAGGGCUGAAACUCUGGGAGGGACCAUUCCAAGCAGCGAAUUAUAAAAAUCCCAAACAGCCUCCUUCUUCUCCUUUUGAUCAAUGAUUAAUCUGUUUUGAACCUGGAUUUUUCCAAUAAAAUUCUUCUUUUUCCUAUAUCUGGCGUGCUGGUGAAAGUAUUUAGUGUUGGCAUCACCUUCUUUCAUCCACAACAGCCUACUCCUCAAACGGGCUAUGGUUCUCUCAAGGGAAACCAGAGCCAAAGAAUGAUGUUUUAAUCGUUGUCUUAGCCACUCUUCCUGUGGGGAUAGAGAUCUAGAAUCUCUUGCAAUUUCCAGCUUAUGAAGAAUUUCUUUAGCCAUCAACAUCUGUUUUUUUAUGUUGCCCACCUUUUUCUGACUCCAGGAAUGCAGAUGUUUGGACAGCCUCAUUAGUUUCCCAGCAAAACGCUGUAGAGGGCAGCAGCCCUCCAAAGGUUGCAGCCAAGACUGUUGCACUUCAUCCAUAAAACCCUCCAUUCUCGUCCAAAAACUUUCAAAAUGAAACCUUCUUUUUCCUUGUACGAGUUCAUGCAAACCAAGCAAAAGGGGACAGUGAUCAGAAAUCAAGGAAGCUGAGCUUUGAAGGACAGAGUUUGGAUAUAAUGUUUCCCAAUCUGCAGUAUGGAACACCCUGUCCAAACGGACCAGGGUGGGGGAAGAUCUCUCAUUGGACCAAGUGUAUUUCCUUCCAAGUAAAGGCAGCUCCUUCAGAUUCAGCUCGUUUAACAGACGUCUAAAUCUUCCCAUCAUGGCUCUGUUUAGGUUGCCAUUGUUUUUAUCUUCAACUCUGUAAAUAAGGUUGAAAUCCCCCCCAAUCAUCCACGGGCCAUUGCACAAAUUACGAAUCAGUUGCAAUUCCUGCAGGAAUAGAAUCUUGAGGUUAUCCAAUUGGGGACCAUAAACUCCAGUGAGCCACCAGAGGGUGCCAUCGGUGUGCUGGAACUGAGCUGAGACUGAAAAGGUGUCAAUUCUAUAUUGAGUAACCUUGCACGAAGAACUUUUCCAGGCCAAUAAAAUUCCCCCCCUAGUGCCAACUGCCGGGAGCGUUACAAAUUCAUCAAACACAACUCCCAGGAGAGACGCAACCAUGAAACGAGAAAUAGAACUCUUCUUUGUUUCUUGCAAACAUACCACGUCAGGACAAGUAUUAUUGACCAAAGCACGAACCCCAUCUCUUCUGACUUUUCUAUUCAAACCUCUAACAUUCCAAAAAAGAAUUUUUGAAGGACCCAUAGGAAACAAAGUCAUCAAGAACUACAUAGCCAUGGGAGAUGGCUCACAAUAUAUCCUCUGGACCUAGGACAGCAGGCAGCACCUGGACAUCCUGGAGAUGGAUAUCGACAGGCACUGACCAACCGAACAAAGCAGCCAAGGCUUUAAUAUGUGAUUCAGACAGGGGAGAGUUGAACAGCCUGCCAUAUUUUUCAAGAGCUUUAUCGCUGAACGCCUCAUCCGCAUCACCAAUAUCCAUUGUUCUUAAUAAUUCAAAUUGGAUCUGCCUGGUUGCGUCAUUAGGGGUCCUCUGUCUUGCCAAUCUGCUACUUCGGCGAGGGAUAAAAUCAGGCGGUAACUGCUUACAUCCCCUUCUGAGAGGCACCGGCGGGGGGAGCAGACCAUCUGUCUUCUUUGUCACCAAGGCAACGAAAUCACAAACCGGAGUUGUGUCUUUAACAUGAUCAGGUUCCACUGAAGUAUCUUCCAGUAGGCUAGGCGUCUGCUGUAAGGGAUCCCUCUGCCUUCUUCUGCUGUAAACCUUCAAUGUUGGACAGCCCAGACCUGCAGCCUCGCACUGGCCUAUUUCUUCAGCAGUUCCAGCCAAAGAGGACAGACAACGGGGCGAGACUAGCCCGUCAAGGGCCCGUCCCAGCGACUCGUCAGCUUGUCUGUCGGGGAACAGCUCUUCAGCCUCGCACUGGCCUUUUUCUUCAGCAGUUCCAGCCAAAGAGGACAGACAACGGGGCGAGACUAGCCCGUCAAGGGCCCGUCCCAGCGACUCGUCAGCUUGUCUGUCGGGGAACAGCUCUUCAGCUUCUUUAUUUGGCAGCAACUCCUCAGCUUGUCUGUCUGGCAUACCAUCCGGCACACGCACGCCCCCCACAUUGAGCUCCGCGCCCUCAGUGGAAGGGCGCAGCACCGACGGUAGGACCUCUGCCGCUUCGCCCACCGCGCCAUUGAUAGUCUCCCCAGGCGCGAUCACCAGGUCAUUGCCAACUCUUCGGGAGGGCUGCUGCGACCCUAGGCGAGAAAGGGCCGAGCGACGCCCGCCGUCCGAGCCGCGUGACUGACAUGGGGAAGAAGGCCUGAAAGGAAGGCCUCGGCUGCCACCAGGCUGGUGUCCGCCGCCACCUCCCGGGGUGUGGCCGCCAUCGCCAUCGGGGGGAGCACCAUCACCAUCAUCCGCAGGGAGGGCGCCAUCUUCAACCGGGACAGGGGUAGCCAAUAUGUUUAGUUUGUAGGAUAAGCAUCUCUUCACACCAGAACCAGGACCUUUCUCCGUGAUAAGGAGAUCCAUAUUACGAUGAAGCUUCGCCGGAUUGAUACACCACGCUCUCAACAUGAAGGAUGAAAAAUCCGACUUCAACACGGUCGCCGGGUGUAAUUCAUCGAUAAUACAAGAGUCACGCAGCAGCUGUUCGGCGGUAGCUCUUGACCACGCAUGCGCCGGAAUACCCCUAAUCUCCACAUCCAGUAGCACUGGUAAAGAUGCCGUAGACGCAUUCGCACAGCGCGUCCACCUCUUGAACACCAGGUCAAACUGGGGACCUCUGAAGAUCUUUCCUCCAUUGAGCACCCUUGAAACUGUAUCUUCAUCGGGAAAAAACACCAAGAAAUCUUCCGGCAAGGUCCGAUGAAUAGACAUGUUAGCUCUAUUGACGUUGAAACUUUGAGCUAAUUCUUCGAUGAUGUCAACUGCUGGAACCUCAGGCCUGGUACCAGUAACUGUGACUAACAGGGCCUUCCGCAGCGCAGCCUCUUCCCUUGCCAUUUCAGUGGAGAAAUCCAGCACGCAAGAAGGGGUCUCUACGCAAACAACAUGUUGCACAACCCCCUCCACGCCCAAACCACCAGAGGAGGCAGAAGCAGGGGACCGUGAUCGCUGCUCCUGAGUAUCGCCAACUGCAGCCCGCCGCCGCUUUGCCCUGCGCCUCUUCCUCCUGCCUCCAGCUGCCGGUGGAGUAGACUCUCCGGAGCCUCGUGCCAUCAACGGGGGGGGGGAAAGAAGUUCUCCCCCGGUGGCCGGCUGCGACGGAGAAAUCCGCCUCCACACCGACUCUCUCCGCCUGAAACCUCCAUGCUGAGCAGGAUCUUGCAUCGCUCCAAGGCGCUGCCACACUGGAACCCGACCAACCUGAUGCUCAGGGUGCGCCUUCCGAGCUACCUUAAGCGGGCACCCAGGGGCACGGUGGCCAAAACCCAGGCACCGAAAGCAGCGGGAAGGACGACGGCAGGAAGCGACGAAGUGAGAGGGUGAGAGACAGUUGAAACACCGCCCUCGGAGGUCCUCAGGGGACCAUCUACGAGGAGCGGGAGGGGGACGUCCAGAACGCCUACGUGCCACCACCUGCCACCCGCCCUCCGAAGGAAGCGACCGCGCUGACCCUUGGGAAUGCACCAACUGGUCGGCCUCCGAAGACCCCACCGCACCAGCCAGAGAGGCUCUGCACGGUCGGGGAGAGACUGAGGACGGAGGCGUGGGAGCAGGGUACCCGACCAUGGCGAGGGCCACAUCUUUGUAGGAGCGCGGCGCCGCCCAAGAACCACCAGAAGACGAAGAGAUGGGGCUGGUAUUACUCCACCUCUGGAAUUUGGACCGCCCCGCCUGGGAAGUCGAAACGGCUUGCACCUUGAGCCCUGGCGCCAAGAGAGUGUGAUUUGUGCUGGUGGUCGCCGUGUUCGGAGCGAAGUCCGGCGAGGGGCUGCGGCGGUGGGUGUGGCCGCCAGGGAGGGGAAGGGCAGGGUGUGGUCGCCGGGGAGGGGAAAGGCCAGGGAGGGGAAAGGCCGAUGGCGGAGGGUCUGGGGGCGUCAUGACCGUACUCUACCAUCAAAUAACAACUCGAGUACACAUCAUACAAUUAUACUUUGUUGUUUUCCUUAUUCGCAAAUACUGUAAAAUUGUUAGUACGAGAACAUCACAUUAGUUGCAUACUUUGCUUCAUAUAUUUUCUACUUCUCUUUCUAUAUUUGCGAUUUGGUAUGCUAUUAUCUGAUAAUUGAUAAUGCAGUGAAUUAGACGUGCUUGGAAUGAUCACUGAAGUUUAUGAAAUCAAGCCAAUACAGUUAAGCGCAAAAUCAUCUAUCUAUCGAAAUGUGUUUAAAGUAUCUCAGGUUAGUAAUAUAAUAUUACAUAAAUAUUGUAUAGAACUGCAUCUAGAAUUACAAUAUUCCGAACUAUAAAAACUGCUCACUCCUAUUACUCUGUUUUCCAAUGAUGGUAUAAUUAAAGUUACUCUUUGGGGGAAUCGAGCUUUAGAAUUUUUAUAUGAAACUAUCCACGAUGAGCAAAAACAAUAUGCUAUUGUGGUUAUAUUUGUUGGAUGUUUACCAAAAAAAAUACAAAGGUUCAUGUCAAGAUUUUAGAAUACUUAAUUUUCUUUCACUUUUUCCCUUUCCACAUAUACAAGAUUGCAUUUCUAUUCAUUGAGUUUGCUUUACUUCACCUGUUAUACCUAGAAACUGUAUAUUUAAGUGGAAGUGCAGCUUGCCACUGGUACUUCAAUCCAUCCAUUACUGAAGCUCAACCAUACCAUGAGAGAGAUGUUUAGCAUAAGAACAAAAGAAGAUAAAAAGUACACAGUCCAUAUAACAUCCCGACUUAUUUCAUAUUAAACAUUUAAUAGAUAUUUCCCAUUUCUCUAUCAAAUGAGAUAGUGAUGUUUGCUGACCCUCUUGAGAGACAACACAAAGACUUGAAAGAGCUAUUAGACUCUGACCCAUUUACACUAGCAAUAAGCAUAUUAUAUGGUGUAUAAAAUACACAAAUACACUUACAAAAAUUUAAAUGAAAAAAUUCAGUUCUAUAUUUGUAACUACCUAUUUUUGGGGGACAGGAUGAAGGUUGUACAUGCAAUGUCACCAUUACUAAAAUAUUUGACAUCAACCUUGGUGGUAUAGAGCAUGUAAUGCAUGUCCAAAUAAACAAUCAAUGCAAUUGUUAAUGUCAUCAUGUUGUGGGUCUACGGAUGUUAUUCUCAGGUAUAUAUUAUUGAGUUAUUAUUACACAAACAAAUAGUCUUUUAUUCCCCUUGCUGUUUAGAUUCCUUCAUAUCCCAAGAUUUUAUAGCUUUUAUUUAUUUGCAUUUGCAGGCACAAACUCACCUUCAUGGCUUCUGAUGGCACGACCGACCGAAAUGCGAAUGUUCUGUUUCAACGGCUUUGCCAAGAGAAUUAUUUGAAAAUCAUGCACCAUUGUGCUCUCAUCAGUUGUAGACACUUGAACUAUUUCACCAGAUUUAACAGCGACUGUAUCUCUUAAAUUCACAUUUGCUGUUGUUUACAACCAAACGUCAUUUGAGGAUAUCUAGAAAAAGGACUCCUCAUCAAGUCAAUCAUAGCUUCACAUGGAAGAGAUUUGUCCUUGCCAUCACCCAAAUUAAACAUUCCAGUAUAUCCAUCAACUCUAGCCAAACUAUUGUGUGCAACAAAACAAGCAAUUUCACCUUCUACAACUAUGUCUAAACUAUCAACAAACAUUUCCCCAAAUGUAAGCUAACUUCAAUGUGUUUACUAUUUUAGUUUUUUGUUUUUAACUGUAUUAUUUACUUUUAUAUGUUUCUAUGCUAACACAUUAGUUUAUAUACCAGCAACAGGACAAUCUUGGAACUGAAAACCAGGACCUACAGUCUUUUAAAUCACCACUGAAAAGGUACUAAACUGAGAUAUAGAAAAUGAGAAUAUCCUGACUUUGCAAAUUCAUCAUUUUUACACUUAUUUUUUUGAAUUUGGGCUAGGCAAAUAUCCUUAUAGUUCAAUUGUGACGAAAAUAACUCAGGCAACUACAAAUGUAUGAUCUGAUUCAUUCAACUUUUUGGUGCAUAUAAUCUAUUGCAAUUCUUUACUUCAACUACAACAACAUUUUGUUGAACUUCAAAGUAACUUAUUUGCCAUACGCUGCAGGAAAGACAUUUGAAGUUGAAAAUUAUGCCUUUGAAGCACCACCAGAUGUAUAUAACUUAUAUAUGCCUUAUAUGGAAAACAAUGUCCUCAAAUCUUUUGUCUAUGCAUCCUAAUAUAUGAAAACUCAAAUGCUACCAGAAACAUAGUAUUUGCAACUUGGCCUAUUAUAUAGCCGCCAUGUAUUAUAUAAUGACCAUGAUCAUCCGCAUCACUCUAUAUCCAUAUUGUAGUAUAAUGUCCCUUCUUUGUAACUGUGCCAAUGCUAAGUAUUUAAUUUCCAUGCGCGCGCCAUCGACUAGUAUAGAAAAAUAUCGGAUACAAAGUGACUCUACACAACUAAUAAAACUGUCCUCAUUUAACUAGAAGGUAUUUUGCCAGUUAUGAAGGUAGUUUACCAAUUAUGAAAUAGCAGAAGUCAAGAAUAGCAUCAGCUGGUGAUAUAUGACAAAUGUUAUUUAAGUUAUGUGCAAAACAGCUACUGCCAAAUCAUGGGAUCAUCGAUAACCAACGUUGAACAAAAGCUAGGAGUAAAAAUUGGUGUGCUAAUUAAGAGAUAAGCAAUGCUUACUCAUGGUCAAAGUAGAAUUGAGCCUAGACAAUUAUCAGAUGUAACAGAAAUUAAACUGAUCCAGACAACAUGUGAAAGGGAUCAAUAUAUUUAUCAAAGCAAAUAAAAGCUGAAACAAAACUUCAGUCCAUUCUUAUAACUCAGAUUAUUGUUACGAAACCAAAGCUAGCAAUAAAAACUGGUGUGCCAAGUGAUAAGAAAUGCUUACUCAUGGUCAAAGUAGAAUUGAGUCUAGGACCUCGUCUCUUGUUUUCUAAAACCUUUCCCCCUUAAUGGAUCGGCAGUGCUCCUGCCAUUUUAUUCAAAAAAGUAGAAUUGAGCCUAGAUAGUUAUCAGAUGCAGCAUGAAUUAAAUUGAUUCAGACAACAUGUGAAAGGGAUCAAUAUAUUUACCAAAGCAAAUAAAAGUUGAAGCAAAACUUCAGUCCAUUCCUAUAACUCAGAUUAUUGUUAUGAACAGAAAGGAAAAUGUGUACACCUGAAACACAGGUCAUAGAUAUUUGUGAACUGAAGCUAUGUAAAAAACAGAAUUAAAGUAGGUAGGUGAAUGACAAUGUAUGACACAUAAGUCAGUUAUUAUGUGAUUGAAGCUGUAGUAGAGGAGUCAUAAAAUAUUUCUACAGUGCCGUUGAAACUGAAUUUAUAUGUUAGAAGAUGUUCCUUACGUUCAAAUGACUAUUGCUAGCUGAGGCUCAUAACCCACUAACAAUGGUAAUCAUAUAGGCAAGUCAAUUUAUAUUAACAAUAUUGGGCAAGUGAAAGAUAUUCAUGAAAAAAUUAUCAAACCAUAAAAAUCAUGAUUGUUUCUCAUGCAUGCAAAUUAAAUCCACCAUCACCUUGUGGUUCGUAUACCUAGACACCAUGGUGAAAGUGAAAGGUGAAACACCACUGAAAUACUGAAAACUGAAAUGAAAUCAUGAUUGGAAAGCAAAAGCCAUAAAUUCAGUGUACAAGCUAAAAGGUUGGUACUGUUACUUUCCCACCUUUAUUGAAAUAAUGAUUAACAUAUUACCAUAAUAGUAUUUCGAACAGAACAUAUACAAUUUGUGUCAAAAACCUUCCCUAUAAAAAAAUGGUAGACAUUUUUUCAGACCAUGAAUCCUAAUCCUAAGAGUAAAAGGUAACAUUGAAAUAACCCAUAAUGCGAAGAUAAUAAUAAACCAUGAUACAAUAAUAAACCGUGAUACAUUUUAGUUUUCACCACUGCUGCACCACAUAAAUCAAGAAUGUUUAGAUUCAGUUACACUAUACUGAUCAAUGUGUCGCUUAACAUGAACAGACCUAACCAACAUGCUGCUGAGACAAGUCUAUAGGAAGCCUCAUAAUCAUUCCAUUUUUAAGGUGUACUAAAUGCAAAGCCUCACAAAAAAUACAAUAAGUUAAGAAAUAGGAGAACAAUUAAUCUUGGAUAAGAUGGACCACCAUAAUGCCACUAUGAAAUGGUCAGGGAGCAACAACAGUAAACAAAAUAAGUGGCCACAAAAGGGAAGAAGCUUGCUCGUCGAAUCCAUGUGAGCAGGUUAAUACAGUGUCAUCGCCUCAUCGGGAAGAUCACCCCCACCAACCUAAUGUAAUAAAACGGGUUCACAGUUGCACCCACACACAAAAAAACAAAUGUAAACAUGAAGACGGGAGGGUACUAUACUAUUAUACCACUCUAAAUUCUUUACCAUGACGACACCCUAUUCCUAACUACUGAUCAACCCUCAGUCCCUCACACAUGCAGAACUUGUAAUAAGCUGGAUAGGGUAAGAAAUGUUCCGUGAUCUAGGCAACAAUAGCUGGAAUCAAGAAGUCAAAACAUAUCAUAAUCAAUUCGCUGAUAGAUAAAAAAGUGAGUCCAAGACAAUGGAAUUUUAAGAUAGGAAAAUAAUAUGUAAUGUCUGGUGAGAAAAAAAGAUUAUAUGAACUAAUAGCAUGCCAUUAACUAUGAACUCAACAAACAACAAUCAAGAUUAUAAUAAUCAUACAUUGUAAGGGUCCAAUAAUGUCAUAAGAACUCUGUAUCCAUAAUAAAGGGGGAAAAGGUAUCAUAGAGACUAAAUUAGAAGGAGAAAGAAAAAGAUGACACUUACAUCUUAUCAUUGGUUUCCUCAAGUUCAUAAGUUUCUUUGCCAAUUAUUACCUUCGAAAUUCAGAGGCAACUGAAAUUGUUGUGGCGUGUCCAUGCUAAGAUUCACCUUGGCCUUCAACUUUACCCUUGAAUAGAGUACCUUAAUGGUAGAAAACAUUGGAGGAACUUGCCAUAUCUCACUCCUAAAUGAUGUUGCUUCCUUUCUAAUAUUUUCAUCUUUGAUAGUUUGAUGUGUCUCAUGGUUUCCUUUGUAUAAUCUAAUCAUCGAAGUAUGUUAGGCAUUACUGUUAUCUAAGCAGAAUUGUAGAGAUACAAAUAAUUUAAAUGGAAGCUACUGGAUAGUACAUUAAACAUAAUAUAACAAUAUGCCCAAGAGUUACAGUAAUAUUUAGCCUCAAAACUUAAACAUAGAUAGAAGAAAGAAAAUGAUACCAAUGAUAGGUCGAUUAAGAAUCCCUUCAAUGCACAUCUGUCCAGGAGGUGCAGUUGUUGAUGUGCCUCUAACUGAAAGCUCAUCUACAACUAUUGAGGAAAUUAGCUUGCCCAAUUAGAAGAAUGGUUCUCCUGGGGACGCAUCUGCUAUAGCACAAACAGACUGCCAGAAAUUGUAAGCACCGAGUGAAUCUUAGCAAGCAAUAUCUACUACAAGAUCAGCGCCAUUGUUCAUCCAUGAAUAAAACAACAAGCAACUACAUCUCCACCCAAAGAACUCAUAAAACCAUUUCUUGGCAGAAGCGCAUCUCACGUGCGGUGAUUACGACGACAGGCGUCUUGGAGUGUGCCUCGCAGACCUUGUGGCAGCGGUGGUAGUCUUGGCACUUGCUGAGGUCGACCUUGCAGCCGUCCACCACGCACGAUGGGCACUACGUCCUGUCGGCGCCACCGGGCUCGAUUUUGGUUGAUUGCACUGUUGAAGAAAAAGUGUGGACAACUAAGGAAUCAACCCGAUAUAUAAUUUUCGGACCAAUUUUAAGCCUGGUUAAAUCAGUAGAGGACUAGUAGAUCGAUUCUGCAUAUAUAACUAACCUGGAUCACUUCUUUUUAUUUGUUGCCCGCCAGCUCUUUCGUCAGGUACAUAUAUAAGCCAUAAUUCCUCCUCCAGGUCUCAUUUAGACUAAGAAAGUGUUUGCGGCAAAGAUAACAAUAAUGAUGUUCGCAAUGUAAUUUGGAUAUUAAAAAAAACCGAUGAGCAACAGACUGCAUUCGCAUAGAGUAUCACAAAUUCUUCCUUGGAGGGUGCAUUACAACACAUUCAAAAAAUGCUCUCAUGCCAAAGUUUGAGUACCGAUUAAGGUUUCUCACACAUGAUAAAGGCAGAUGUUUGAAAGCACAACACAUUAAAAAAACAUCAACCCCACGAGCAAGAGAAUUAGCAGUGGGCGUCUUCAAAAGAUUGGCAUCCGUUCAACUAAUCACUCUGUCGCUUGUUCACACUUUUGUGCCAUGCUCGCCUCUUUCACCUUGUGCAUUGUCUCACUUAAUUCUCGACUGCAGGGAAGAAGAAAUAAAUUGUCAUAAGGUGCUACAUAGAAAUUUUUAAUCUCUUGUUACAAAUAACUAUGGUAGAACUUAAAUUACGCACAUAUAUAGUCAUGAUUCUUCUUCAUGUGAUAGAAAGUAUGCAAAAUAAUGAGCUAGCCAAAAGAAAGAAAUAUCUUUUUAUCAGAAACAGGUAUAAAACCAAGUUGGGUUGUUCAUCUUUACUACUCUAUUAAGAGUACAACGAAGGCGUCCACACCCCUUGCCCCCGCUUACUGCCGCCCGCCUGCCCCUGCUCACGCGUCCGCCAGCUCGCCCGCAGGGCGAGGCAAUGCCUCCGCCCCGAUGCCCCCCGCCCUCGUCUUCACCAUCAGCCACGCAAUACCCACCCCUAGCCUUCGCCCCAACAGAUGACGCGCGACUGCUGCGCCCCGCCCGCUUGUGGUUACCUCCCCCCUCCCCCGCUCGCGACACAUGCCCCUUGCCCCGCGUGCGUCGUCUCCCGUCACACCACCCCCUCGGUCGCCUCGACGUCGGCGCGAGGCUCCAGGCCAUCGGGGACGGGCCCGGGACGGGGCAGCCCGAGCAGGCCAUGGUCUACGACGGUGCCUACGAUCCCUGGACCCUAGAGGACACCAACGUGUGUGAGGUCCUACCCUGCCCCCGCCCGUGUGCGUCGUCUCCCCUUGUGAACUUGUGAUCUAUUUUGUUUAGAUACUCUAUGAUUUGAAUUUUCCCUCUUUUUUUGUUAUUUGUCUUCCUUAACUAUAAUGAUUGUGAUGAAACUUUAUUGUUGUGGAAUUUCUCAUCUAUGUUACAAGAUAGCUAUUCACCACUUUGAGGUCUGAAAUAAAACAUAACAACACUCUUAGGCUCACUUUGAGGUCUGAAAUAAAACAUAAUAGCACUCUUACAUGAUUACCACAUAGCUAUUCACCACUUUGAGGUCUACAGGUCUCAGGCUCACUUUGAGAGGCUAGCAGAUUUGCUUACUUCAGAUAUUUUGAAGCCUUGUACCAAGCCACCAAGGAGCAGGGUUGCAUCGGUCUUACUGCCAAUGAUGAUCCAUAUAAUGCUAAUGAAAUGAGCCCAAGUGACCAAAGACAAAACCAUGUUUCAGCAUCGAGAAAAAAGCCUAUUUCCCUCCCAAAAAGUGAAGAAGCAAAAACUGGUAAACCUACAUUUGUAGAAAUAAAUUUGAUACUGGAAUGUUAUUGUUUAUCCAUAUCAGUUAAGUUUGUCAAGAUAGUUAUUACUUAUUCUCCACUUUUCCCUUUUAUUGGUUGAUGCUUGACAUAUCUCCUGUUCUAACACAUUUUAUCACAUUUUUCCAUGCACAAAAUUUUCUUUUUCAGGGAAGAGACAGAGAGAGAAUGACGAUGAUAUGAUCCCAACACUAGAGAACUAUAUACCUGAAGAUGUUGUAGCUAUUCACCACUUUGAGGUUUGCAGGUCUCAGCUCACUUUGAGAGGCUAGCAGAUUUGCUUACUUCAGAUAUUUUGAAGCCUUGUACCAAGCCACCAAGGAGCUGGGUUGCAUCGGUAUUACUGCCAAUGAUGAUCCAUAUAAUGAUAAUGAAAAGAGCCCAAGUGACCAAAGACAAAACCAUGUUUCAGCAUCGAGAAAAAAGCCUAUUUCCCUCCCAAAAAGUGAAGAAGCAAAAACUGGUAAACCAACAUUUCUAGAAAUAAAUUUGAUACUGGAAUGUUAUUGUUUAUCCAUAUCAGUUAAGUCUGUCAAGAUAGUUAUUACUUAUUCUCCACUUUUCCCUCUUAUUGGUUGAUGCUUGACAUAUCUCCUGUUCUAACACAUUUUAUCACAUUUUUCCAUGCACAAAAUUUUCUUUUUCAGGGAAGAGACUGAGAGAGAAUGACGAUGAUAUGAUCCCAACGCUAGAGAACUAUAGACCUGAAGAUGUUGUAGCAAGGGAACUGAUCGACCAGAAUCAUUUACAGGAAAGAAGUUAAGGGAGGGUGACUACGAUGAUGAAGGAAACAUUGUCUCUUCAAGCAAUAUUUUUGCGUAUAGGGUGAUACGUCUGCCUUGUGUGAACUCAUUUAGCGAAAUUGUGUAUAAUCAUCUAUUAAAUAUAGCAUGAUCUGUUGCCUCAUUAUGUUAUUAGAUGUUCUAUUUAGUGCUCUUUGUUAUCCUACAUCUACUGUAGUUCUGUAAAUGAGUGAACCUUACCAUACAUGUCUCAACUUGUAUUGUCUCUCUGUUUGUAUGUGGAGAGAUUUCUGAAUGUGAAUCCAGUGUCUGAACAGACUUAAUUAAUCGUUGUCUGCACAGGACUAUGUUUAAACAAGAUUUAGCUUUAUGAUAUAUAUAGAAACCGUAGUAACGCACGGGCAACUAACUAGUAAGAACAUGAAGAUGUCGAGAUCAUGCAACUAAUACAUUUGGUUUGUGUAGAACUAGCUUGGUUUGUAAGGUGCUGCUUGGGCGAGGGUCGUAAAUGGUUUUACAUGGGGCGCUCUGAUUUUAUUUGGAUCCCAGACAAGUAAUAUAUGCCUACUGGAUGCUCCAGGAUAAAAUGGUGAAUAUAAAUCUGAGUCAUGCUUAAACAAAGCCUAAACACAACAACACUAUUUUUUUGUUAGCUUGCUGCAUAGUGUUGCACUGUCUUUAAAUCAUGAUAAAACUGGGAUAUAAUUUGAGCAGCUAAGCCUAACCUAAUUACAACAUGUCAAACUUGUUACCAGAUUGGCUAGUCAUUACACCUAGCACAGAAAUCACAGCGAUACAUCAACAUGUUAAAUAUCUAGCCACUUGAACACCAAACCACCAUCAUGUUACGAAAUGUACCUUGAGGCUGCUAAACACAACAAUAUAAUAACCAGUAACUAUUUUAAGAAUGAAUAUGCCAAAUUCCUACAAGCAAAAAAAGCAACAACUGGCUGUGCAAAGUGCUGCAUGCAAAAAACAAUUGCAUAGAUAAACUAAAUACAUGAGGAGAUGCAGUAAUACCUUUUGAUGGCGUCUUCACUCAAGUAAGAGGAGAACUUGCUGGCAAUGAAGUCAUGAAAAAUGAAAUAGUUCCUGCAGUCCCUUUUAGGAGGGUAUCCUUCUUCUUCUUCUUCGUUGAUAUAGAUGGAACUUGACAGCAGCAACUUAUUCCGCAUGUUGACUUGAACCAUCCAGAAAGGGUCACGGAACUUGUCCUCGAGGCGGAAGCAAAUGACAUCUGGAUCAACCAAGCUCACCACAGGAAAACUUGGCAUCACUCGUGGGAGGCGACUCUUGGCAGUGUCGUUGUAAAGAUUGAAGAACUCGCUGGCUCCCAUGGUCAAGUUGACAUCCUUCUCCCAUCUACCUUGGUGGAUAUCAACCAAAGUCCAUGUUUCUAUGGUGAAGGGAUAAGGAGAAGGGUGCUCUUUGGUAAUAAUGCAGACGAGCUUAAUGAUGCCACCAUCACAGACACUGAGACGCCGAAAGGAAUCAGGUUCACCGUCCUUGUACACACGGCCAGUCUUCAAAGCCUUAGAUGGGAGUGGUAUAUAACGGAGCCUGCUGUUGUUGUUGCUGCCAGCGAGGACAUCAAUGAGCAGCAUACCAUGGUAGUAGUCAACCCAGCACAAGCACCUCUCGCCAAUAGUGACGACGGCAUCAGUCUUAAACGAGUAGAGGCUGAUCUUCAUAUCGGCAGGGAUCUGCAGCUUCUCAACACUCCAUUUCAUUUCAGCAUCAGAGGCAGAAGGGGGAUGGUGCAGCAAGCAGAGUUGGACCUCCUGGUUGAAACGGUAGGUGAGAUCCGCCACCGUGAAUUCACCCUUGUCUCCAUGGCAGAGGAUGCCCAUAUCUUCUUCAAUCAUGGUCCGCUGUUGCUGGCGCCGGUGCGGUUGUAACCACUUAUCCAACUCGGGGUCGGUGCGUCCACCGCCGAAGCAAAGGGGAACCCGGGUGAAGCAAGGGGGAAGCCGAGUAAGGGACGGCGGCGACGAGGAGGACGAGUAGACAAAGUAAUCAUCAGGAAAGUAGAUCAUUCGGCUCCAGAAACAGGGAUCGUCGAAGGGGACAGACACCCGGAAUAGAAUGGAGUUGUGGUGGGCGGCGAUGACGACAGGCUCCUUCAUGCAGUCAAUGGCUGGAAUGCUGGUCCAGUGGACGUAGAGACGGGACACCGCGGGGGGGUCCGCGAUCCGGAGGGAGGCACGGAUCGGCCGGCCGACGCACUCGUGGGCGAGCGCCGAGGUCGUAGCGUCCCCGCACCGCUUCCGGCUGCGGUGGACGAUGCGGUCGAGGAUCAGCCAGCUAUGGUCUCCGGUCACCGGCGCCGAAGGAUCAGUCCACCAUGGAGCGGGCGGCGGCGGAGGCGACUUGCUCAGCUCCAGACCAGAAUCCCUCUCCGACGAGACACCUUUACCGCUCAGCUCCAGACAGGAAUCCCUCAUCGGAGAGACACCUUUGCCGUUGGGCGUGGGCUUAGCCCUGCGGCUUCGAGGACCUCCUUCCAUGAUGUCGGUGGAAUUGAGGAACGGGCAAACGCCGGUGGCAAAAGGGGGCCGUGCAGUCGACGCGGUGACCGGGACAGCACAGCAGAGUGGGGUCUGUAAAUGCGAUGGAAAGGUGCCCGCCGCCGCCGGAGAGAGAGAGGGGAAAGGUGCCCGCCGCCGCCGGAGAGAGAGAGGGGAAAGGUGUCCGCCGCCGCCGGAGGGAGAGGGGAAAGUGUAAGCGAGGACAAACGCUGAAGCCACUGGCCAAGGAUACGGGCGCGCAUCCCAUGCGAAAUGUUUGGCCUCUGGAGUUAUGCAGUGCCCACCGCACCCCGCUCGAGUAUUCUGCACACGGCAAAAUUUCUCUGGUGUGCUCUAUGUACUAUUCCUUUGCCCUCUGGAGUUAUGCAGUGCCCACCCCACCCCGCUCGAGUAUUCUGCACACGGCAAAAUUUCUCUGGUGUGCUCUAUGUACUAUUCCAGGCUGAGGCUGGUGGUUCCCCUACCUUAUUAGCUAGAGGAUUUGGAAGUGGACAGCCUGGAUCAGAGCAAUUUGAGAUGACAGUUCCUGAUAACAAUUUUUUUUUUUCUCUCGGUGCUAACGAUGUUGUUUUAGUGUACCAUUUUAUAUGUUCAACCAUUACCUGUAUUUCAUAGGUCGGUCUCAUUAUCGGAAAAGGUGGUGAGACAAUUAAAGGCAUGCAGACCAAAUCUGGUGCUCGUAUUCAGGUGGAUAUGUCGCUUGUCAUGGUGGCUUGCCAUCAUAAAACUUUUACAACUUGUAUACAUUGAGAGGUCUAAGGAGAUUUAACUUAGUUUUUUUUUGUAGUUAAUACCCCAACAUCCUCCAGAGGGUGUUACAUUGACUGAAAGAAUUGUACGUGUUACUGGGAAUAAGAAGCAGAUUGAAGCUGCAAAGGAUUUGAUCAAGCAAGCUAUGAAUCAGGUGAUGUGAUCUUCCUUUGUGAUUUUUUGGUAGUCGAUUUGUGUUUCCAUUGUUAAGUCAUGGUAGAUGCUGGUAUGAUACUAUAUGCUUUUAAUUGUUCAUGCUUUAUGUGAUUUUACUCUGAUGGUUGCUGAUGAUGUCAUCACAUUUCAUGAUUCAUUGUUCAUGAUAUGGUUACUUUAGUGAUCGUAGAUACCGAAUUCAAUGUUGUCUUCAUGGUAUUUUUUGACCAAGGCAAAUUCAACCUAUUGAGAACAUUGCCUUAUUACAAUGCUAUAAUGGACCAAUUGAUUUUUUAGCUUUGGGUUUCAUAAUAUGCCUGUUUUUAUCAUUGCAUACAUUUUUUACAAUUUUCCUGAUCAAGCCAAACUUGAGAAUCCAUGAUAAGCUUUGUAGCUUGCAUAUAUUUGGGUUCCAUAAUAUGCCUAUUUUAUCAUUGCACGCAAUUCAUAGUUUCAUACUGUCUUUCUGUUCAAACUAAGCUUGAGAAUUCCCUGAUGAGCUUUGUAGCUUAUAUAGGUGUCCCAAUUGUACUGAUAUUUUUGUUAUGAACAAAAAAUGAUUUGAUUUUGUACUUCAUUCAUACUGUGAAUAUAUUACUAUUUCUCUUGUAUGGGACCCUUGAAUUUUAAGUGUUGUUUUAAACUAAUCAAUCUUCUCUACACUUGGCCUUGUAUGAAGUAUCCAUGAUAUAUAGCAGAGCCUAAUUGGGCUGGAAGGUAAGUUUCUUUUAAUGUUUGAGUUCUCAUCUUUAGAUGAAAGACAAAUGGGACACCAUUGGCGUUUUCAAGAUUAUAAGGAUGUAAAACUUUUAAAUCGGAUUUAUUACCUCAAUGAAUAUUUCACUUUCUUUCCCUUGUCAAAAUGUCUUAUCCUGGGUGUUAAGCACUGCGAACUUUGGCUUAUUUUGCCUUCUUGUUUUUACUGGAUCAUACACGCUUCCAUUCUGUACCUGUUCGUUGGAGCAUAGUUCUUGAUUUAUGCAUUAAUGACAUAUGAUAUAUGAAUGGAAGAGUAAAAAAAUGAGUGCAUGGUCAUACGAUUCAGAAAUGAACUUUUGAGCUGUAAUACAUAGCAUAUGAUUCGUCUGGAAAUCUGGGUACUGAUUGAAUUCUUGAUCCCAUUAGCUUGACUAUUCUUCGUAGGAUAUACACUAUGAGUAGGACUUCUCAUCUAUCAGCCUUAACAGUAAACAUGGGCAUGCUUAAGCCAAUUGGAUCAAUGUCCAUGACUAUAGCUUUGCAAGUGUUGUAUACCAGCGGAUCAUCCAGUUGCUAGAUGAGAUAUGAUUCUGUUUCCUCCUGGUCAGGCUGGUUAUGCCUCCUCUGCGCCAGCGGCCAGCCAGAGCCUGCCUAUGGCCAGGCAGGAUACACCCAGCCACCUACAAAUCCUCCAAGUUAUGAUCAGUCUGCAGCACCAGCGGCGACUCAGAGCGGUUAUGCUGCGCCCCCUGCAAAUCCACAAUAGCCUGCUGCAGCAAAAGGGGUCUCGCCACAGCCUGCUGCUGCUGCUGCUGGAUAUGGUGCUAGCGGGCAGUGGACGGCAUGAGCUUUGUCUUCCCAACUUCGAUGACAGCAAGGUCAGGUUGGAUAUCCGCUUUUGGCGCGUGUUCGAAUGUUUGCAUCUUUUGGACGGUAUGUAUGAGCCUCGUCUUCCGAACUUCGAUGACAGCAAGGUCAGGUUGGAUAUCUGCUUUUGGUGUUUGCAUCUUUUGGAUGUCUGUGGACGCAUCAUGCAUGUAGGGCUUUACCCCGUUAUCGAAAGAGAUUGUAACCCCUUGAGUUGUGAUACUUGACAUCUACGAGUAGUUGCUUAAUGUACUUUUAAACAUUCUAUUCAGUUUGGAUGUUCCUUGUCUUGCUACUUCACAGCUUGCCAAGUCAGUAAUCUUAGGAUUCAUGUUUGGCUUGCUCUUUGGUCUUUGCUGUCGUUCCUGUAAAUAAAUAUUGGCGUUUAAUUUGGCCUUCUCUUACGUCGUUUAUGGGAUGAUGGGGUGCCGUUUCGAGUUGGCAAUAAUAGAUCUGUUGUUCAUCCAAACUCAGUUGGUUUUGUUUUGUAUUUGUUCCGAAUCAUGUUGGUACAGUUAGCAUGUGAAUGGACAAGCCAUUAGCCACGGUCUAUUUUUUUUGUUUGUUUGUUUGAAAAUGCCAUGUUUUUUGGUUUGCUUGAAAAUUGAAAUGAAAGCUAAAAGUUUUACCAUCUCUAUUUUAUACCACUUUCGUUCUCAAAUAUUUAUCGCUUCAUUUUUUAACUAAAUCGCGACAAAUAAAAUAAAAAAGAUGACAGAGUAUAUAAGGCUGGCUCUAGCAUAGACCACUAAACAGUCACGUCCGCUGAAUUUAGCGGACGGCAACGUACGUCCAACAAGGUACUCUAUACGAUACGCUAUAAUUUAGUGGUGGUGUCGAACACGGUAAAUGUGGCAGACUUCUAUCGUCUGCUAUCACCACCGUCGAGGCUGAUCAUUCGCUCCCGCGCGCGGCUCGGAACCUUCAACGCAUUGUCGGUUUUCCGUCCUCACUGUUCAACUCGGCAAGCUCUGGUGGUCCUGCUCCCCGUCGCAGAGGGUGCUGGUGCGAGAGGGACGGGAGCUGGUGGCAGAGCUCGGUACUCCUACACGCAGGGAUGGGUGACGAGCACAUGCGGCAUCAUCACUGUCAAGAUCAACAUCCCCACUGGAUAUUUGUUUUUAUUAUUAUUAUAUGUUCGUAGUGAAAAAUGUUAAUUACUUUUUUGAAUUAGGUACGUGAGCUCGAAUUCAAAUUACAUGAAAAAUAGAGAAUAAAUAUUGUAGGUAAUAGAUUCUAUUAACACUGUAGAUAUAGAGGAUCGAUUUUAGAGGACGUUGUUGGAGAUGAAGAAAAUAUAGAGGACGAAUUUUUUAGAGGAUGCUGUAAAUGAUAAAGAAUAUUACUUUAAAGGACGAAAUUUAGGAGACGUUGCUGGAGACAGCCUAAUACUAGAGCAAAAGGCGCCCUUACGGCCCCCCUAUCUGGUAUCAUACUAUUUAGAAAAUAAGAUAUCACAACCAAAAGUCUCCUAUCAAGCCUACACUGAUAGCAAUGCAAAGCACUCGCUCUGCCAUCAUUUUCUACUGGAUAUUUCUCGCUCACGUCAGCGCUUCGAUUUUCUCAAUGCACCUCAGGUGCAUCCACACCACGGGCAUUUUGCUCCACUUUGAUCACCUACAGUUACAAAGAGCAAAAAGAAACAAAAUUCAGUGGUCUAAGAUAUAAACUACAGACUGCAAGUUCAUAACCUGCUAUGCAUCAUACAAAAAGAUAUUACCUCCGUUCUUAAAUAUUUAUCAUCCGCUAGUUCAUUUUUGAACUAAACCGUGAUAAAUAAAAAAAGAACAAAAGAAAUAUAUUGUUGCACAUAUUAAAAACAUAGUAGCAUUCAAACCAUACAAGUUCAUCAUGAAUAAACAGAACAAACUGCAUCAGAGCACUACCAACCAGACACGGUCUAUCUCAGAUUCUAGCGUUCCAUGCCAAAAUACCUUCAUCCGAUAGCUGUUUUCAAAAACUUUCAGUUGCUCUAGAUCCUCUUCCAUUUGUAAUGGUUGGACUAUUGGUGGAAGUUCUAGAUAGAUCUUCAAAAAUCUUGAAUGAAAGCCCUGUGUGAGAGAGAGCAGUUAGUCAAUUAAUUAGCCAAAUGAAAGUCGGUUAAUCAAAGGACCAUGUAUCAAAUAUAAAUAAAUAAGCAUAAGCUUGAUAAGGUAUGCGAUUCCAAGAUGAAGAAGAUAUGGAUUUUUUGGAUUGACGUUCCCUGAUCUGAAAUGGUCAGGGCCAGAAGAUUUUCAUGUGAAAAAAUACAGUCAAUAUAAGAGUUAAAUAGCUAUUUGUGCCUCACUUAUUGAAUGGAAUCAGCCCUCUUAAAAAAUAUCACGUAGCCCAGAUUAUCCACAACACACUUCACUCUAUUCGUAUCGAAUGCAUCUUCUAGUUUCAGUGAAGUAACAGCUGUGCUGAAAACUGCAGUACUGAAUAUAAUACCAGAGUUCAUUUCUUGAAUGCGAAUAACUAUGAAAAUCGAAUAACUAUGAAAAUAUUAAUUAUUUACAUCUAAAACAUUGGUUUUGUAUGUGUAAGCAGUCAUUAACAUUCAUGAUAGAUCAAGAAAAAACAUACAGACUCAGCCUACCAGCCAGCUCCAAUGGAAAUAUCAACAGGUUCAUAGCCUCUGCAGUCAAACACCAUCAAACAAGUCUUCGUUUCUUUCUAGCUCUGCUCAAUAGUACUACCUCCAUUUUUAUUUAUUUGACGCUACUUAAUUCAAUUUUGUACUAACCGGCAACAAAUAAAAACAAGCGGAGGGAGUAAGUGGCAUCCACUGACCAUGAAUCAUCACAAUUGUUCCAUCUCUCCCACAAAGCUUGCACUGAGAGAAGACGACAGCUUACAUGGUUCAACAAAAUAUACAGUCGACACGCUAAAGAACCGAUAAUGCAAAAACCAUCACCCUGCCAAUGAUCACAAUACAAGAAAUCAUAUUAACAAAAAAGCAAUCCCAUUGCUUGUGAAUCAUAAAGCAUAUAUUUUCCUAGGUAACCUAGUUUGCAAAAUAGCAUGACCCUUGAGAAGGAACAAAUGAACAAUCCUCUGUUGUUGUCCUUUUACAAAAAUAUGCCUCCUGUCCACCCAAUUUUAAUCAUGAAUCAGUACCCCUCACAGAAUCCAACCCAACCUACUAAGCAAAUAACAUAAAAGAAGGAAAUUCAGAAGACUAAAGGAAUCUCAAUUAACCACGUCAUGAGUCAUCUCAUUUGCUGUCCUCAUAUCAUGUAGUACCAAAAUACGAAAAUGAAUGCAUUUUAAAAAUUGAAGAAGGCAUAGUAGGAGCAGCUAACAUCAGUGUCGAAAAAUCAAGUGACAUCAGUAAAAUCAAUUGCAUUCCUCAACUGAAUGUAGAUAAAGACACAUAGACCAAAUUAUUGGUGUUCAGAGAAAUCUAACAGAAAGCAAAUGCUCUCAAACAUCUAAAAGUCAAUAAAACAUAAUAUCAGUGGUCACUGCACAGUAUUAUGCACAUACAGGAAGCGAGAUCUUACAUCUACCACCGUCUUAUCAAUUUCACAUAUGCCAAUCUGCUCCACAGAGAUAUGUCGUGAAACCUAACACAGAACACCACCGUUCCCCUCCAAUAACCAACACAUGUGUAUCAUGAAACAAUUGAACGUUACAUCCAAUAAAUUUUAGAUAAUAUACAUAUUCAUCUGUGUACAUAUUCAUCAUUUUGAAAACUACAAAUACCAAAAAAUUCACCUAAUUAAUGAACCUGGCAGUACGACUGCAUCCUAACAAUUUUUUACUGCAGACUUCUCCAGGCAUUACAAGUUCAAACAAAUUACAAGACAAAAUUAUAUGAAGUAACCAAUGACAUAUUCUUAAAGAUGGUUUAAUUGAUGCAAAUAGCAUCAGAGCACACCUUUUAGUGCUAAAUGUACCAAAACAUGUAUGAUAAUAUCGUUAGCUAUGAUGCUAGCACGCAUUUCAUUUUUUGUCAACAAUAAUAUUGUAAGCGGCCAAUUGCAGUUUCGAUUCGAAUUUUUGGCAUCAAAAUAAAUAAAGCGUGCAUUCUACUUUUUUUUUGUUACCAACGCCAUCGCACCAGGCUUACCACCGGGAAAAAAAAUCUAUACAUACCGCAUGUGAACACCACCUUUUACAGCCCCUCACAUGCACCACUUAAAGGCCCACAAAGACAGAUCAAAAUUUACAAAAUAAUCUUUUAGUAAUUUAUUUUUUUCUUCUAUUUAUAUAUACCAGCAGCUGGUGUAUGUGAGGGGCUGUAAAAGAGAUUCUUUACAUCCCAGAUGUAAAGAAUUUUUUUUCCUACCAAUAGGCAAAACCCACAUUAGUAGUGAACUGGAACAACAAAGAGCAGUCCAUCAAAGAAGAGAGAUGGAAGGGACAUCAUACCUUCAAGCUUCCACGAAGGCAUCGUAGCAGCGAGACGGGACGCGAGGUCAGCGACGACAUGGGGGUUAGGUCGUUGCGGCUGCGUCGCGCGUGGCCACGUAGGUGAGGAGGGAGUCAUACCGCGGGCGGGAUCCGCAGCGGCAUGGUGAGGAUGGCGGCUAGGAGAAUGUACGCCGCGCAGACGAGAGAAUGUCAGUGUCAGGGCCGUUCCUGACUUUUCAAGGCCUUGAACGAAAUCCGAUAUGGAGGGUCCAUCCACACACAAAUAUAUAUAAUUAUACAUACAGUAUCGAAUAUUUAACAUAUAAAAAUUAUUAUGCUCUGUUUUGAUGCUUAUAAGAUAACAAAUGUAAAAUAUAGCUAAAAGCACUUACUUCUUAUUUGAUAUCAUUAAAAAUAUCUUCUAACAUUUUGUGAUACAAAGUCAUCGCUUAUAUCAUUGAGAUCAAUUUCAUCCAACAACUUUUUUUCGAUAUAUAGAAUCGUCAAGCCGUUUAACCUCUCUUAAGUUAUUGUUGACCAUAAAUAGUUCACAAAAAUAUUUCAAUUUUAAAAAGCUUCUCUCUGCCGAUGCAACCAUCAUGUGUAUAGUAAAUAAUACUCUCUCUAUAUCAAAAUAAAAUUUGUUUUGCUUCUUUAGUGGAUUCAUCAUCAUCUAGUUGAAUAUAAACAUAAAAAAUCAAGAGCUAAAACAAAUACUAUUUUUUAUCGGAUGGAGUAUUCGAUAAGCAAUUGAGACAUUAGUUUAACAAUCUAAAUGAGACUAGUUGAUAGCGCAUCGCUCUUUGCGUAUUUGUGUCUAGAAUAGAUAGGUUUAACAGGAAAAAAGUGUUAGCGUCUAGUGGCUAGGGGACCCUCUGAUUUUGGGGGCCUGGUGCGGCCGCACCCUUGGCACCCCCACAGGUACGGCCCUGGUCAGACAUACUGCCAUGGUCACCACAUAGGUUGGCAAGUGGGGAGGCAACUGGAGGUCAAUACAAGGCGAUGAAGCUGUUAGCAAGCAAUCAUAAGUGGAAAGGGAUGAACAAGACAACAGAAACAGACGCGGCAGAAGAGAAGGCUUAAGCGCAGUCGAGGAGAUCAAAGUGCGCCAGCCCCUGGCCAAAUAUAAAUGUGGUUGGGCCACGUUGGGCCAUGUAAUAUGGGCCUCAAUACUGAUACACUUGUGUGACCGCGUCCAUAUAUAAAUGGCGUGUAUCUGUACAGGAGAGGGUAUCGAAGAACAAAAAUAACAAUUCUAUUAUCGCCUUCCCUGCUAUCUUCUUCUUCCCCAUGUCAUAUCUUCCCGUUCUCCACACCUCUAGCGACUGUUAGUUCGUGCCCUAGCCGACAGAGUUGCUAACAGAGAAGAGGGGUGAGGUCUGUCAAGAAUGCCGCCAUGUCAAGUCGGAUUCCGCGCCGCCAUGGAGACAAACGGGGAGGGGUCACGGAAACUGCGGUGGCGCGAGGAGUAGCAUGCUUCGGGGCGACGACACGAGAAGGAGAGAGGAGUAUGUUAGGACACCCGAAGGAGAGACUACUAGGGAAUGGCAGGUGACACAGACGCCUCAGCUGAGAGAUCGAGAACCUCGAAGAAGAGAGGAGUAGGAGAAACAACAGUACCAUGCGUGCCGAUCCGAGCAGGGAGAGGGGCAGCGCGGAGAGGAAGAUGGCGGGAUGGGGCCGACGUUUGCUGCGGUGGUGCGGGGAGGAAUAGUAUGCGGAAGGGGGCGGUAGAACUUCUCAAAGGAUGCAAAUGCACUAGAACUUCUCAAUCACUCACUAGAAUGCGAUCUCAAGCAACAAGUAUGAGAGUUUGAGUUAGAGGAUCACAAAUGAGCUCAAUGUAUGCUAGGAGUGGUCAAGAGAGCCCUCACACACAAGCUCCAUUUCUAUUUAUAGCCCACAACUCAAACCUAGUCAUUAUGUGCAAAUAGCACAACUUCUGCGCACACAUGGACGGUCCACGCCCCAUGGCCGGACGGUCCAUCGUACCAGUAACGGCUAUAAAGACCGUUGAAACCUGUCAGUGCUGUCAGAAAAAGUCAAGCCUGGACGAUCCACCCUCCUGGGCCGGACGGUCCGGGACCUGUCAACAUGGAAUAUCAUAGCACUCGUCAGUUAAAACAAUCCGAGCGGAGUGUCCGCCAUUUUAUGGCCGGACGGUCUGCACAUGGACCACUUACCGUCCGGCUAAAAACCCCGGACAGUCCAUAGUGCAAGGACUCAAAAACACACUUUCCCUGCCCAAACUCAAUUCAGUUUAUGCGGACGGUCCAGCCUCCUGGCUUGGAUGGUAGCGAAGGGAGACAGAGACAAGGCGCCAGCAGACUUCUCUGACAGAGUCGCGGACGAGCUGGCCUCCUGGCUCGGACGUUCUACCAACCACAGAGUUGAUAUUUUUGCGCUUUUUCAAAAGAUUUUGUAUUUUAAAAAACGAAGCGUUGUUAGCCCUCAUGUAAAUGCAACCGUUUAUAUUAUACGAGGCACUAAGUUUUACACCGAUCAAGUUCAUUGACCCCUCUUAAUAGUACGACCGUCUACCCUAUUAAUCCGGUCAAUUUCUUCUCUAAACACCUGCUGACCGGCAAAAAACAAAACCUAUAUUUUUCCUUUGUCUUCUUCACUUGAUCGAUUAGUUUCAUCCAAUUUUCACACUAUUAAACGAUUGUGCUUGAGACUGAUUCAAUUUUUCUUUAGUUGAUCUAGUUGACAAAUUAUUAGCGGCUCCAUUCUGGACACUGAAACCAUGAUAUUAUGAACUAUGUAAUCCAGCAUUGAAUUUCCAAAAAUGGUAUCUAGAAUAAAAGGAGACUUUUCUGUACCUCUGGCAAAAAUAAUAGGUGACGCGGCUCUCAUAGGAAAUAAAUAUUUGACAUAAAGAGGAAGAGGCUCAAUGGGACACCCACAUGGAGUUUCUUUGCACUCUAAUGACAGGCCAAAUAUGAACGACAAAAAAAUGUCAAAGACAAGAAAAUAUAGGAAAGAAAUAUUUGACAUAAAAAGGAAGAGGCUCAAUGGGACACCCACGUGCAGUUUCUUGCCUACAUGUAUAGAUUAGUAGACUGUAGUAAAUGGUCCUUGAUGUCUGGUCAUUUCUAAGGAUAAAUUCUAAUCAUAUUUAACAGCAGUUGUGAAAUUCUUUAGCUUGUAAGUUCCCUUAACGACUGACAAACAUGCAUAUUAUUAUGAAGAGUACCGUAUUAGAACGGCGUAUUCAUUGAAUACAACAAGAAAAACUGAGAACUCUAGGAAUAAAUAAUACUCAUUAUUAUAAAUAAAAAUAAUUACAUCGUGAUACUAAUCUGCACAAGUGUGUUCCGAUUCCAUCUAUAAGAGACAUUUUUAAAGGAACUGAGCAUCAAUUCUGCAACUAACAGUAAAGUUUCUUUGAGUCUAGGUUGGGGAUCAAACAAUCACCUAUAAGAAAGGAUGUGGCGGAAAACUUAUGAUGCUGACAAUCCUUAGAAACCAAGUAGAUUCUAAAGAAAAGUUGCUUCUGCUGCUUCUCAUCUGAAGAGCUUGUUUCAAGUGUUGGUAGCUGGACUACUGGGUAACCAAAAGAAACCUGAGGGUUACCAAGCUCUCACCUAAUCUUUCUCUAGAAUUGCGCAUCUCGACAAGGGCCUUCACUAACUGAUGGGAAAGCAUGAUUCGGUAAUUUAGGCCCCCGAGCCAGAUGAUUUGACUGUAAUGAAAGGCAAAACAAAGGAACCAAUGUCACACCAAAUGCAUAUGGAGUAAACUUCAUGAAUCCGUUGUAAGGUUCUUUGCUUACUCGUGUCCUAUGAUUGUUUCUAGUGAACGCUCAUACUGCACAUAGACCAUUAGAAACCUGGUAUUCAUGAGGAUUUCUAGCACAUCGGAGUUCCUAUGCAACUCAUCACCUUCCUUGUCUUGAAGUCAGGUGGCUGCAGACGAAGCAUAAACUUGUUUGGUGCAAUGACAUGCAAAUCGAAUUGAACCCUGGAAAACAAAUCCUUUACUAUUGAAUAUUUAAGCUAACAAGAUUUCAUGUUUGUGCUCAAAGUAUAUAUGAUAAAGUGGAAAAGCAACAAAAAAAACACUAUGACUAACCUCAUGACGAGGUCAGAGAAGGCUCCCGAGCUGAACCCCUCGACCUGGACAUGGUCACAGAGCACGGUUGCAGUCCCUCGGUCGGAGCUCCGAUUACCAAUGACUAUCUGGGUACAUGACAAUCACCAUAGGACCUAGGAAGAAGCAUAGCGUUAUCCUGCAAGAAGCACACCAUGGCCAUCAAAUGCAGCACGGACAACACCUCAUACCAAGGAUCUGCCAAUGCCAUGGAUGUCUCCUGCACUCUAGUCAUGUAGUACUCUUAAAACAUUCAGAAGAACUUGCAUAGGUGCAUAUACAAGGGGACUCAAUUCUCACCUCAGCCACAUCUUCUUGGUUAGCCCGUACAAACUGCUGCAAUAUUGAUGUCCGAAUCAUGAUAAAUUAUCAGGAAAGCAAUUUUUUAGUGUAAACAGCAACAGUAGGGACAUUUCGCACGUAUAAUCACCUUCCACCAGUUCUAGCAGAGCCUGGAUAGAGGAGAUUAGCAGUGCUAGACCCUCUUGCAGAUCAAAGGCCACAAACAAAGCAAGAAUUCUGUUAUUCACAUUUAGUAUGAAUAACCACGGCAGGGUUCAUAUGCUACAACAACCAUUGUGCUCUUGUACCUAGAAUAAUUAGAGCAUUUGUGCCAGAAAUUCCAGUCACCUGAAAAAUUCAAGCGGUAGAAAAGAAAACAAACAAAAAAGGCAACUAAUGUACCAUUUUGCUUGUUAGAGUAAUAUGUUGGGAUUUUUUUUAUUGUAAACAGCACCUUAUCCACCAACUUAUUUUGAUGUCAAAAGGAACCCAAACAAGAUGAAUCCUGGAUAACAUCCUCUUUGGGGCAGAGGCGGGAUAUUGUACACCAAAGUUCAAACAUUGAAACAUAGCAAUUGCAAAGUGUAAAAAUCCAGAUUACCCUCACUACACAUGCUAAAUAAAUUCACUACAUAAUUAUUUAUCAGUGUAUUUAGUUGGGCUAGUAGCUUAGAUUCAUGCCAAAGUUUGAGUACCGAUUAAGGUUUCUCACACAUGACAAAGGCAGAGAAUUGGCAGUGGGCGUCUUCAAAAGAUUGUCAUUCGUUCAACAAAUCACUGUCGCUUGUUCACACUUUUGUGCCAUGCUCGCCUCUUUCACCUUCUACAUUGUCUCACUUAAUUCCCGACUGCAAGGAAGAAGAAAAAAACUGUCAUAAGGUGCUACAUAGAAAUUUUUAAUCUCUAGUUACAAACAACUGUGGUAGAACUUAAAUUACGCACAUAUAGUCAUAAUUCUUCUUCAUGUGAUAGAAAGUAUGCAAAAUAAUGAGCUAGCCAAAAGAAAGAAAUAUUUUUUUAUCAGAAACAGGUAUAAAACCAAGUUGGGUUGUUCAUCUUUACUACUCUAUUAAGAGUACAACGAAGGCGUCCACACCCCUUGCCCCCGCCUACUGCCGCCCGCGCGCCCCGCCUGCUCGCCCACAGGGCGAGGCAACGCCUCCGCCCCGACGCCCUCGUCUUACCCAUCAGCCGUGCAAUACCCACCCCCAGCCUUCGACCCAACAGAUGACGUGCGGCCGCCGCGCUGCGGCCGCCGCGCCCCGCCCGCUCGCGGCGCAUGCCCCUUGCCCCGCGUGCGUCGUCUCCCGUCACACCACCCCCUCGACCGCCUCGACGUCGGCGCGAGGCUCCAGGCCAUCGGGGACGAAUCCGGGCCAGGGCUCCCGAGCAGGCCACGGUCUACGACGAUGCCUACGAUCCCUGGACCCUGGAUGACACCGACGUGUGAGGUCCUACCCUGCCCCCACCCGCGUGUGUCGUCUCCCCUUGUGAACUUGUGAUCUAUUUUGUUUAGAUACUCUAUGAUUUGAAUUUUCCCUCUUUUUUUGUUAUUUGUCUUCCUUAACUAUAAUGAUUGUGAUAAACUUUAUUGUUGUGGAAUUUCUCAUCUAUGUUACAAGAUAGAUAUUCACCACUUUGAGGUCUGAAAUAAAACAUAAUAGCACUCCUAGGCUCACUUUGAGGUCUUAAAUAAAACAUAAUAGCACUCUUACAUGAUUACCACAUAGCUAUUUACCACUUUGAGGUUUGCAGGUCUCAGGCUCACUUUGAGAGGCUAGCAGAUUUGCUUACUUCAGAUAUUUUGAAGCCUUGUACCAAGCCAUCAAGGAGUAGGGUUGCAUCGGUCUUACUGCCAAUGAUGAUCCAUACAAUGCUAAUGAAAUGAGCCCAAGUGACCAAAGACAAAACCAUGUUUCAACAUCGAGAAAAAAGCCUAUUUCCCUCCCAAAAAGUGACAUAUGUCCCAAAAACCAUGUCUCCACUUUUCCCUCUUAUUGGUUGAUGCCUGACAUAUGUCCUGUUCAAACACAGUUUAUCACAUUUUUCCAUGCACAAAAAAUUAUUUUUCAAGAAAGAGACUAAGAGAGAAUGACGAUGAUAUGAUCCCAAGUCUUAAUUCAUGGUUCACCUGUAGUUCAACAAAUGACAAUGCAACAACUAACAGAGGGACAAUGCAACAACAAUUAGUGGGAGCCAGUUUCUCAUCCUAAAUUAUGUUGAGCACUAUUGAAGAAAAACGAAAAGUAUCAUAGUAAUCUGUCUAAAGCCAAUAAUAUAGUAAAAAAUGACAGUAAAGAAAUAUGGAUAGUGAAACAAAAAAAUAUUAGCGUUAUACACCCUCCUCCUAAUUAUAAGUCGUUUUAGCUUUUCUAGAUACAUAAAGGACUUAUAGUUUGGGCUGCAACAGGAGAGUGUAUAGCAAAAAAUAUCAAUAUUGUGCAACACAUGUAGAUACAACAUUAGGAAUCUUAUAUAAACUGACCAACAAAUUGUAAGAUGCAAGACCAGAGCGAUCCAUGGACAAAUGAAGGAGAGUCAAAAUAUUGAAUUAAUAUGAGUUAGUCUCAUUUAAUAGAUCUUUGACGGACUAAAGACUAAAACAGUUUAGUCCCUGUUUUAUUGCAACUUAUUUGCCAAUUUAGCUACUAAAUAAAACUAAAAUGAAUGAAUUAAUUUUUAGUCCCUAAAACCAAACGGAACGUGGAAUACUGCUAUUAAGAUCUCCAUCAUGAUCGUGACAAAGGUAAGAGCUGUGGUUGAGAAGAGCUUGAACUUUGUCGUGGUUCAGUUUGAUUUUUAACUUUUUCGUGCAGAAUACUCGAGUGGAGCCGUGAGGGUGGGGUGGGCUCUGAGAAAGGCAGAACUCCAGAGGGCAAAAGUGACAUUUCGCAUGGGGUUGUGUGGUCCGUAUCCUUGACCAUGGCUUCAACGUUUGUCGUCUCGUACACUUUCCCCUCUCUCCGGGGGCGGCGGGCACCGCAUUGACGGACCUCACCCUGUUGUGCUGCCCCGAUCACCUCGUCGACUGCACGGCCCCCUUUUGCCACCGGCGUUUGUCACUCAACACAUCUAACAAUCCCAACACCCGUUCCACAAUUCCACCGUCAUCAUCGAAGAAGUUCCCCGAAGCCACAGGGCUAAGCCCUCGUCCAACGGCAAAGGUGUCUCUCCGACGAGAGAUUCCGGUCUGGAGCUGAGCAAGUCGCCUCCGCCGCCGCCCGCUCCAUGGUGGACUAAUCCUUCGGUGCCGGCGACCGGAGACCAUAGCUGGCUGAUCCUCGACCGCAUCGUCCACCGCAGUCGGAAGCAGUGUGGGGACGCUACGACCUCGGUGCUCGCCCACGAGUGCGUCGGCUGGCCGAUCCGUGCCUCCCUCCGGAUCGCGGACCCCCCCGCGGUGUCCCGUCUCUACGUCCACUGGACCAGCAUUCCAGCCAUUGACCACCACGACUCCAUUCUAUUCCGGGUGUCUGUCCCCUUCGACGAUCCCACUUUCUGAAGCCAAAUUGUCUACUUUCCUGAUGACUACUUUGUCUACUCGUGCUCCUCGUCGCCGUCGUCCCUUACUAGGCUUCCCCCUUGCUUCACCCGGGUUCCCCCUUGCUUCGGCGGUGGACGCACCGACCCUGAGUUGGAUAAGUGGUUACAACCGCACCGGCGCCAGCAACAACGGACCAUGAUUGAAGAAGACAUGGGCAUCCUCUGCCAUGGAGACAAGGGUGAAUUCACGGUGGCAGAUCUCACAUAUCGUUUCAACCAGGAGAUCAAACUCUGCUUGCUACAUCAUCCACUUUUGCCUCUGAUGCUGAAAUGAAAUGGAGUGUUGAGAAGCUACAGAUCCCUGCCGACAUGAAGAUCAACCUCUACUCGUUUAAGACUGAUGUCGUCAUCACCAUCGGCGAGAGGUGCUUGUGCUGGGUUGACUACUACCAUGGUAUGUUGCUCAUUGAUGUCCUCACUGACAGCAACAGCAACAGCAGGCUCCGUUAUAUACCACUCACAUCUAAGGCUUUGAAGACUGAUCGUGUGUACAAGGACGGUAAACCUGAUCCGUUUCGGCGUCUCAGUGUCUGUGAUGGUGGUAUCAUUAAGCUAGUCUGCAUUAUUACUAAAAAGCACUCUUCUCCUUAUCCCUUCACCAUAGCAACAUGGACUUUGGUUGAUAUCUACCAAGGUAGAUGGGAGAAGGAUGUCAACUUGACCAUGGGAGCCAGCGAGUUCUUCAAUCUUUAAGACGACGCUGCCAAGAGUUGCCUCCCACGAGCAAAGUAACUAUUUUAAGAAUGAAUAUGCCAAAUUCAACUGGUUGUGCAAAGUGCUGCAUGCAAAAAACAAUGGCAUAGAUAAACUAAAUACAUGAGGAGAUGCAGUGAUACCUUUUGAUGGCGUCUUCACUCAAGUAAGAGAACUUGUUGGCAAUGAAGUCAUGAAAAAUGAAAUAGUUCUUGCAGUCCCUUUUAGGAGGGUAUCCUUCUUCUUCGUUGAUAUAGAUGGAACUUAACAGUAGCAACUUAUUUCGCAUGUUGACUUGAACCAUCCAGAAAGGAUCGCGGAACUUGUCCUCGAGGAGGAAGCAAAUGACAUCUGGAUCAACCAAGCUCACCACAGGAAAACUUGGCCUCACUCGUGGGAGGCAACUCUUGGCAGCGUCGUCGUAAAGAUUGAAUAACUCGCUGGCUCCCAUGGUCAAGUUGACAUCCUUCUCCCAUCUACCUUGGUGGAUAUCAACCAAAGUCCAUGUUGCUAUGGUGAAGGGAUAAAAAAGAAGGGUGUUCUUUAGUAAUAAUGCAGACGAGCUUAAUGAUGCCACCAUCACAGACACUGAGACGUCGAAACGGAUCUGGUUCACCGUCCUUGUACACACGGCCAGUCUUUAAAGCCUUAGAUGGAAGUGGUAUAUUACGGAGCCUGUUGUUGCUGUCAGUGAGGACAUCAAUCAGCAGCAUAUCAUGGUAGUAGUCAACCUAGCACAAGAACCUCUCGCCGAUGAUGACGACGGCAUCAGUCUUAAACGAGUAGAGGUUGAUCUUCAUGUUAGGAGGGAUCUGCAGCUUCUCAACACUCCAUUUCAUUUCAGCAUCAGAUGCAGAAGGGGGAUGGUGCAACAAGCAGAGUUGGACCUCUUGGUUGAAACGGUAUGUGAGAUUUGCCACCGUGAAUUCACCCUUGUCUCCAUGGCAGAGGAUUUCCAUGUCUUCUUCAAUCAUGGUCCGCUGUUGCUGGCGCCGGUGCGGUUGUAACCACUUAUCGAACUCGGGGUCGGUGCGUCCACCGCCGAAGCAAAGGGGAACCCGGGUGAAGCAAGUGGGAAGCCUAGUAAGGGACGGCAGCGACAAGGAGCACGAGUAGACAAAGUAGUCAUCAGGAAAGUAGACCGUUUGGCUCUAGAAACAGGGAUCGUCGAAGAGGACAGACACCCGGAAUAGAAUGGAGUUGUGGUGGGCGGCGAUGGCAACAGGCUCCUUCAUGCAGUCAAUGGCUGCAAUACUGGUCCAGUGGACGUAGAGACGGGACACCGCGGGGGGUCCGCAAUCCGGAGGGAGGCACGGAUCGGCCGGCCGACGCACUCGUGGGCGAGCGCCGAGGUCGUAGCGUCCCCGCACCACUUCCGACUGCGGUGGACGAUGCGGUCGAGGAUCAGCCAACUAUGGUCUCCGAUCGCCGACACCGAAGGAUCAGUCCACCAUGGAGCCGAUGGCGGAGGAGGCGACUUGCUCAGCUCCAGACCGGAAUGCCUCGUCGGAGAGACACCUUUGUCGUUGGGCGAGGGCUUAGCUCUGCAGCUUCGGGAACCUCCUUCGAUGAUGGCGUGGAAUUGUGGAACGGAUGUUGGGAUUGUUAGAUGUGUUGAGUGGCAAACGUCGGUGGCAAAAGAGGUCAUGCAGUCGACGGGGUGAUCAGGUCAGCACGGCAGGGUGGGGUCCAUCAAUGCGGUGUCCGCCGCCCCCGGAGAGAGGGGAAAGUGCACGAGACGACAAACACUGAAGCCACGGUCAAGGAUACGGACCACACAUCCCCAUGCGAAAUGCCACUUUUGCCCUCUGGAGUUCUGCCUUUCUCAGAGCCCACCCCACCCCCAUGGCCUCACUCGAGUAUUCUGCACGAAAAAGUUAAAAAACAAACUGCACCACGGCAAAGUUCAAGCUCUUUUCAACCAUAGCUCCGGCCCUUGUCACGAUCAUGAUGGAGAUCUUAAUAGCAGUAUUUCACGUUCUGUUUGGUUUUAGGGACUAAAAAUUAAUUCAUUCAUUUUAGUUUUAUUUAGUAGCUAAAUUGGCAAAUAGGUUGCAAUAAAACAGGGACUAAACUAUUUUAGUCUUUAGUCCUUCAAAGAGUGAUUAAAUGAAACUAACUCAUAUUAAUUCCAUAUUUUGCCUCUCCUUCAUUUGUCCAUGGAUCACUCUGGUCUUGCAUCUUACAAUCUGUUGGUCAGUUUAUAUAAGAUUCCUAAUGUUGUAUCUACAUGUGUUGCACAAUAUUGAUAUUUUUUGCUAUGCACUCUCAUGUUCCAGUCCAAACUAUAAGUCCUUUAUGUAUCUAAAAAAGCUAAAACGACUUAUAAUUAGAAGGAGGGUGUAUAACACUAACAUUUUCUUGUUUCACUAUCCAUAUUUCUUUACUGUCAUUUUUUACUGUGUAAUUGGCUUUAAACAGAUUACCAUGACACUUAUCGUUUUUCUCUAACAGUGCUCAGCAGAAUUUAGGAUGAGAAACUGGCUCCCACUAAUAGUUGUUGCAUUGUCCCCCUGUUAGUUGUUGCAUUGUCAUUUGUUCAACUACAAGUGAACCAUGAAAUUAAAAAGAUGUUCUGUUGGUCAGGCCUGAAAACUGAUGUGGAAUUAUUUGUGAAACAAUGUGCGGUUUGUCAGCAAGCCAAAAGUCCCAAGCAGUAUCCUUCUGGGUUACUUCACCCAUUGCCUGUGCCAGCAGGAGCUUGGCAAGACUUAACUAUGGAUUUUAUUGAGAAGUUACCCCGGUCAGAAGGAUAUGAUACUAUUUUGGUGGUGGUAGAUCGAUUCACCAAGUAUGCUCACUUCUUUCCCUUAAAGCACCCUUUCACUGCUCAGGGAGUGGCCCAAAUCAUGGUAGAUUCAGUAAUCAAGCUGCAUGGGGUGCCCAAAACAGUGGUAUCUGAUAGGGACAAGAUUUUUACAAGUGUUUUUUGGGAACAUUUGUUCAAGCUCUUGGAUAUUAAGCUUGCUUUAAGCACAACCUAUCACCCUCAGACAGAUGGGCAGAGUGAGCGAGUUAAUCAGUGUUUGGAGAUGUAUCUCAGAUGUGCUGUCCACUCCAACCCUCAGAAAUGGAAGUCUUGGCUAUCUUUAGCCGAAUUGUGGUAUAAUACCACUUUCCACUCAUCAUUGGGUUGUUCACCUUUCCAGGCCCUUUAUGGCUAUGAAGCAUUUGUUCUUGGCAUUCCUUUAGUCACAGGGCAGGAGGAUAAGGGAGCUGUCCAGUUUGUCCAGCACAGAGCUGAGCAUAUUGAGAUGUUGAAGGCCAAUUUGGCUAGAGCUCAACAGAGGUAUAAACAUUUUGCAGAUAAGAAGAGGGUUCCCAGGGAGUUUCAGGUCGGGGAACAUGUUUUGCUCAAGCUCCAGCCUUAUGCUCAAAAUUCUAUGGUCAAUAGACCUUGUCCCGAAUUCGCAUUCAAGUAUUUUGGGCCUUACACAGUGACUGAGAAAAUUGGGCCAGCUGCUUAUCGUUUGGCUCUUCCACCAGAAGCUCAGAUCCACCCUGUCUUCCAUGUUUCCCAACUCAAACCAUUUGUUCCAAAUUAUACUCCCGGUCUUUGAUACUCUUCCUCAACCAAUGGAUUUGGACAGGGGACCUCUGGCUACGGUAGAGAUCCUGGAUCGCAGUAUGGUCAAGAAAGGCAACGCGGCUACGGUCCAAGUGUUACUCAGAUGGUCUAGGUUACCAUCAUCAUGUGCUACUUGGGAGGAUUUUACUGUGGCCAAGAACAGAUUUUCAAAGGCCCUUGCUUGGGGUCAAGCAAGCUCUCAAGGGGGGCGGAUUGUCACAACCCUACCAAGAAUGCAUAGAUUCAGACAAGGUAACAAGAGGGCAAGAAGGAGGAUAGAGGGGAUAGAGUAAUACAGCUGUAAGCUGCUGGCAUCUAGCUAUAAUAACUGAUUAGAUCUGUCAUCUAGCUGUUAAUCCAGCUGUAAUAACUGAUUAGCAGUUAGAGUCACUUGGUGCUGCUAUAAAUCUGAGCAUUUGUAAUGGAGAAGACAUGAAAUGAAAUAAAACAGAAAUCAAGCUCCACCACAUACCUGUGUGAUUUAGCGUUCUUGUUUGAUUCGGCUAAAGGGGAGACCUCACGUCGGAUGAACCCUAGGGAGAGGGAAAGCCAUACCUGGGCACAGAUUCAAGGGUGGACGAAACCCUAGACCAGGGUUCCUCACAGGGAGAUCAGGAGAUGGCCACUGGGCUGACGCUUGCGGAGAUGGUGCUUGGGGAGAUGGCCGCUGGGCGCCUGGGGAGAUCCGGAGAUGGCCGCUGGGCGCCUGCCUGGGCGUGCGCGCCAGCGCGGUGCGCAUCGUGGGCGUGGGCGCGUGGCCCGACAGGCAGGGCCGCUGGCCGCUGGCCGCUGGCCGCUGGGCGUGCGCGAGCGCGCCUGGGGAGAUGGCCGCUCGCCGCUGGGCGCCUGGGGAGAUGGCCGCUGCCCGCUGGGCGCCUGGGCGGCCGCAGCGGUGCGCAUCGUGGCGUGGGCUAGUGGUGGCUGGCGGAGACCGGAGAAGACGAAUGGAUGGGCAGGAUGGCGGCGGCCGACGCCUCGGGAGUCGAGGAGAAAAUUGGAGACGGAAGAGGUGGGAACCCUAAACGGCUACAACUAAUUAAAUGGAGGCCGAGUUUUAGUUUUAAGUAGUGGUGCUUUAAGUAUAUUAGAGAUUAGAGAUAUAUAUUAUAUAGUUACAAAGAAAAAGAUAAAUAUAUUAAAAGUCCUUCUAUUUAUUGUGCCGAGUUUUAGUUUUAAGUUUUGGGUCUAAGUUUUGAAUACCAAUCUCCUAUUGUAAUUAUUCAUUCCCUUUAGAGAGGUAUACUUUACAAAGGAAUAAAAUCAUUAUUAGAAGUCAUUUUAUCUCAAAUCAUUUGAAGAAUUCUUUAAAUCACCAAAAUGAGAUUUUGGGUUUAUCUCUACUAACUAUUAAGUGAUUAGUGUAGACUGCCCCCGCUCCCGGCUCCACCCGCCCGCCCGACCGACCUUCGGAAACCUCGCCGCGCUUCCAACCGCCUCCUCAAACAACGCCGGGAACGCCGCAAACCCCGCCGCACGCAGCUCCUCUGUCGCCUCCACCGCACACAGCAUGCGCGCUCCUUCCCCGCUCUGUUCUCGUCCCCGCGUCGCUCAGAUCAGCUCUGGCUCCUCGCCACGCGCGCCCUCGGACCUCGACCCAUGGCGCGUCGAUCUGCCCGCGGCCCCGAGACCCUGCCCCGGCUCCCGACUCCUCUCCCUUCCCUACAUCGUGCUUCCACAAUAUCGCGCGCGGGGCCACGACAACGUCGUCAUCGCGGUGCCACACCAUCGCCGCGGGCCCCAACAUCGCCACAUCGUCGCCUCCGCUUUCCCGGUGUCGAUCGUGGUCGCCACCUCUACCAACAAAUGCCUCCAUUGCGUCGAGCUCUCAGCAUGGUCGCGCCAUGAAUUCCUCAACUCGCCAUGGGUCCGCGUGCGGGAGCUCCUCAACCAACUCUGCCAUCCCACCGCCCCCAUUGCGAUCCGCCAACCCAGCUCGAUCCCACGCGCCCCCCUUAAAAGCGGCGGCGCACACCCGUGUCUCCCUCACGCCCAACCACCCCCACCCUCGCCCUAGCCCCGAACCCUCCUGGCGGCGGCCCCGCACGUGCAGGCGCGCGACAUCCUAUCAGGAGGCGAGGGGGCUCUGAUGACCACCAGUGCCAACCUGAUGAACCAUCCGCCUCACCGCCUCGCUCCCCGUCAUGAAUAGGGUUCUGUCAUAUAUGUGCUCGAUUGGUCCAGGAACUCUGAGUCCCGCUUCCAGUUCAUUGUCAUGAAUACGCGCAACACUGGUACAUCGGCGAUCACUGCUCGGAUCGGUCACCCGCGGCGCCUAGACAGGAAUUCAAAUCACUACGCUAUUGUUGCAGAUGCCUUACAAUCUCUUUUGGUAAUGUGGAUUCUAUUUUCAUCCAUCUGUUUCUUAUUUAUUUCUUGUUAUAUAGGCUUGAUUAGCAUCCAGAUUCAGCGUUUGGCAUGGCAUGACUAUUCCUUAAAUAUUGCAAAUGGUCAUCUUCUUCGAAAUAUAAAAAGAAUGGUACCAUUUGUACCUACGGUAUUCGCCAUUGCUUUGACUGAAAACAAAAGUCUAUUUGUGUUAUGCGCUCAAACAUAUGUACACAAUAGACGUGCAUUACAUGUUCUAUAUAUCAGAUGCAUAUAAACUACUCCAUUUGUUUCUGCAGCUUGCCGAUUCAAAUUCCAAGGAUAUGAAGAGCAAGACAAAGGAGUGAAAUGACUUAAUCAAGCCAGACAUAGUAAGUUUUUGUGUUCACUGGUUGGAUAUCCGCUUUUGGCGCGUGUUCGAAUGUUUGCAUCUUUUGGACGGUAUGUAUGAGCCUCGUCUUCCGAACUUCGAUGACAGCAAGGUCAGGUUGGAUAUCUGCUUUUGGUGUUUGCAUCUUUUGGAUGUCUGUGGACGCAUCAUGCAUGUAGGGCUUUACCCCGUUAUCGAAAGAGAUUGUAACCCCUUGAGUUGUGAUACUUGACAUCUACGAGUAGUUGCUUAAUGUACUUUUAAACAUUCUAUUCAGUUUGGAUGUUCCUUGUCUUGCUACUUCACAGCUUGCCAAGUCAGUAAUCUUAGGAUUCAUGUUUGGCUUGCUCUUUGGUCUUUGCUGUCGUUCCUGUAAAUAAAUAUUGGCGUUUAAUUUGGCCUUCUCUUACGUCGUUUAUGGGAUGAUGGGGUGCCGUUUCGAGUUGGCAAUAAUAGAUCUGUUGUUCAUCCAAACUCAGUUGGUUUUGUUUUGUAUUUGUUCCGAAUCAUGUUGGUACAGUUAGCAUGUGAAUGGACAAGCCAUUAGCCACGGUCUAUUUUUUUUGUUUGUUUGUUUGAAAAUGCCAUGUUUUUUGGUUUGCUUGAAAAUUGAAAUGAAAGCUAAAAGUUUUACCAUCUCUAUUUUAUACCACUUUCGUUCUCAAAUAUUUAUCGCUUCAUUUUUUAACUAAAUCGCGACAAAUAAAAUAAAAAAGAUGACAGAGUAUAUAAGGCUGGCUCUAGCAUAGACCACUAAACAGUCACGUCCGCUGAAUUUAGCGGACGGCAACGUACGUCCAACAAGGUACUCUAUACGAUACGCUAUAAUUUAGUGGUGGUGUCGGACACGGUAAAUGUGGCAGACUUCUAUCGUCUGCUAUCACCACCGUCGAGGCUGAUCAUUCGCUCCCGCGCGCGGCUCGGAACCUUCAACGCAUUGUCGGUUUUCCGUCCUCACUGUUCAACUCGGCAAGCUCUGGUGGUCCUGCUCCCCGUCGCAGAGGGUGCUGGUGCGAGAGGGACGGGAGCUGGUGGCAGAGCUCGGUACUCCUACACGCAGGGAUGGGUGACGAGCACAUGCGGCAUCAUCACUGUCAAGAUCAACAUCCCCACUGGAUAUUUGUUUUUAUUAUUAUUAUAUGUUCGUAGUGAAAAAUGUUAAUUACUUUUUUGAAUUAGGUACGUGAGCUCGAAUUCAAAUUACAUGAAAAAUAGAGAAUAAAUAUUGUAGGUAAUAGAUUCUAUUAACACUGUAGAUAUAGAGGAUCGAUUUUAGAGGACGUUGUUGGAGAUGAAGAAAAUAUAGAGGACGAAUUUUUUAGAGGAUGCUGUAAAUGAUAAAGAAUAUUACUUUAAAGGACGAAAUUUAGGAGACGUUGCUGGAGACAGCCUAAUACUAGAGCAAAAGGCGCCCUUACGGCCCCCCUAUCUGGUAUCAUACUAUUUAGAAAAUAAGAUAUCACAACCAAAAGUCUCCUAUCAAGCCUACACUGAUAGCAAUGCAAAGCACUCGCUCUGCCAUCAUUUUCUACUGGAUAUUUCUCGCUCACGUCAGCGCUUCGAUUUUCUCAAUGCACCUCAGGUGCAUCCACACCACGGGCAUUUUGCUCCACUUUGAUCACCUACAGUUACAAAGAGCAAAAAGAAACAAAAUUCAGUGGUCUAAGAUAUAAACUACAGACUGCAAGUUCAUAACCUGCUAUGCAUCAUACAAAAAGAUAUUACCUCCGUUCUUAAAUAUUUAUCAUCCGCUAGUUCAUUUUUGAACUAAACCGUGAUAAAUAAAAAAAGAACAAAAGAAAUAUAUUGUUGCACAUAUUAAAAACAUAGUAGCAUUCAAACCAUACAAGUUCAUCAUGAAUAAACAGAACAAACUGCAUCAGAGCACUACCAACCAGACACGGUCUAUCUCAGAUUCUAGCGUUCCAUGCCAAAAUACCUUCAUCCGAUAGCUGUUUUCAAGAACUUUCAGUUGCUCUAGAUCCUCUUCCAUUUGUAAUGGUUGGACUAUUGGUGGAAGUUCUAGAUAGAUCUUCAAAAAUCUUGAAUGAAAGCCCUGUGUGAGAGAGAGCAGUUAGUCAAUUAAUUAGCCAAAUGAAAGUCGGUUAAUCAAAGGACCAUGUAUCAAAUAUAAAUAAAUAAGCAUAAGCUUGAUAAGGUAUGCGAUUCCAAGAUGAAGAAGAUAUGGAUUUUUUGGAUUGACGUUCCCUGAUCUGAAAUGGUCAGGGCCAGAAGAUUUUCAUGUGAAAAAAUACAGUCAAUAUAAGAGUUAAAUAGCUAUUUGUGCCUCACUUAUUGAAUGGAAUCAGCCCUCUUAAAAAAUAUCACGUAGCCCAGAUUAUCCACAACACACUUCACUCUAUUCGUAUCGAAUGCAUCUUCUAGUUUCAGUGAAGUAACAGCUGUGCUGAAAACUGCAGUACUGAAUAUAAUACCAGAGUUCAUUUCUUGAAUGCGAAUAACUAUGAAAAUCGAAUAACUAUGAAAAUAUUAAUUAUUUACAUCUAAAACAUUGGUUUUGUAUGUGUAAGCAGUCAUUAACAUUCAUGAUAGAUCAAGAAAAAACAUACAGACUCAGCCUACCAGCCAGCUCCAAUGGAAAUAUCAACAGGUUCAUAGCCUCUGCAGUCAAACACCAUCAAACAAGUCUUCGUUUCUUUCUAGCUCUGCUCAAUAGUACUACCUCCAUUUUUAUUUAUUUGACGCUACUUAAUUCAAUUUUGUACUAACCGGCAACAAAUAAAAACAAGCGGAGGGAGUAAGUGGCAUCCACUGACCAUGAAUCAUCACAAUUGUUCCAUCUCUCCCACAAAGCUUGCACUGAGAGAAGACGACAGCUUACAUGGUUCAACAAAAUAUACAGUCGACACGCUAAAGAACCGAUAAUGCAAAAACCAUCACCCUGCCAAUGAUCACAAUACAAGAAAUCAUAUUAACAAAAAAGCAAUCACAUUGCUUGUGAAUCAUAAAGCAUAUAUUUUCCUAGGUAACCUAGUUUGCAAAAUAGCAUGACCCUUGAGAAGGAACAAAUGAACAAUCCUCUGUUGUUGUCCUUUUACAAAAAUAUGCCUCCUGUCCACCCAAUUUUAAUCAUGAAUCAGUACCCCUCACAGAAUCCAACCCAACCUACUAAGCAAAUAACAUAAAAGAAGGAAAUUCAGAAGACUAAAGGAAUCUCAAUUAACCACGUCAUGAGUCAUCUCAUUUGCUGUCCUCAUAUCAUGUAGUACCAAAAUACGAAAAUGAAUGCAUUUUAAAAAUUGAAGAAGGCAUAGUAGGAGCAGCUAACAUCAGUGUCGAAAAAUCAAGUGACAUCAGUAAAAUCAAUUGCAUUCCUCAACUGAAUGUAGAUAAAGACACAUAGACCAAAUUAUUGGUGUUCAGAGAAAUCUAACAGAAAGCAAAUGCUCUCAAACAUCUAAAAGUCAAUAAAACAUAAUAUCAGUGGUCACUGCACAGUAUUAUGCACAUACAGGAAGCGAGAUCUUACAUCUACCACCGUCUUAUCAAUUUCACAUAUGCCAAUCUGCUCCACAGAGAUAUGUCGUGAAACCUAACACAGAACACCACCGUUCCCCUCCAAUAACCAACACAUGUGUAUCAUGAAACAAUUGAACGUUACAUCCAAUAAAUUUUAGAUAAUAUACAUAUUCAUCUGUGUACAUAUUCAUCAUUUUGAAAACUACAAAUACCAAAAAAUUCACCUAAUUAAUGAACCUGGCAGUACGACUGCAUCCUAACAAUUUUUUACUGCAGACUUCUCCAGGCAUUACAAGUUCAAACAAAUUACAAGACAAAAUUAUAUGAAGUAACCAAUGACAUAUUCUUAAAGAUGGUUUAAUUGAUGCAAAUAGCAUCAGAGCACACCUUUUAGUGCUAAAUGUACCAAAACAUGUAUGAUAAUAUCGUUAGCUAUGAUGCUAGCACGCAUUUCAUUUUUUGUCAACAAUAAUAUUGUAAGCGGCCAAUUGCAGUUUCGAUUCGAAUUUUUGGCAUCAAAAUAAAUAAAGCGUGCAUUCUACUUUUUUUUUGUUACCAACGCCAUCGCACCAGGCUUACCACCGGGAAAAAAAAUCUAUACAUACCGCAUGUGAACACCACCUUUUACAGCCCCUCACAUGCACCACUUAAAGGCCCACAAAGACAGAUCAAAAUUUACAAAAUAAUCUUUUAGUAAUUUAUUUUUUUCUUCUAUUUAUAUAUACCAGCAGCUGGUGUAUGUGAGGGGCUGUAAAAGAGAUUCUUUACAUCCCAGAUGUAAAGAAUUUUUUUUCCUACCAAUAGGCAAAACCCACAUUAGUAGUGAACUGGAACAACAAAGAGCAGUCCAUCAAAGAAGAGAGAUGGAAGGGACAUCAUACCUUCAAGCUUCCACGAAGGCAUCGUAGCAGCGAGACGGGACGCGAGGUCAGCGACGACAUGGGGGUUAGGUCGUUGCGGCUGCGUCGCGCGUGGCCACGUAGGUGAGGAGGGAGUCAUACCGCGGGCGGGAUCCGCAGCGGCAUGGUGAGGAUGGCGGCUAGGAGAAUGUACGCCGCGCAGACGAGAGAAUGUCAGUGUCAGGGCCGUUCCUGACUUUUCAAGGCCUUGAACGAAAUCCGAUAUGGAGGGUCCAUCCACACACAAAUAUAUAUAAUUAUACAUACAGUAUCGAAUAUUUAACAUAUAAAAAUUAUUAUGCUCUGUUUUGAUGCUUAUAAGAUAACAAAUGUAAAAUAUAGCUAAAAGCACUUACUUCUUAUUUGAUAUCAUUAAAAAUAUCUUCUAACAUUUUGUGAUACAAAGUCAUCGCUUAUAUCAUUGAGAUCAAUUUCAUCCAACAACUUUUUUUCGAUAUAUAGAAUCGUCAAGCCGUUUAACCUCUCUUAAGUUAUUGUUGACCAUAAAUAGUUCACAAAAAUAUUUCAAUUUUAAAAAGCUUCUCUCUGCCGAUGCAACCAUCAUGUGUAUAGUAAAUAAUACUCUCUCUAUAUCAAAAUAAAAUUUGUUUUGCUUCUUUAGUGGAUUCAUCAUCAUCUAGUUGAAUAUAAACAUAAAAAAUCAAGAGCUAAAACAAAUACUAUUUUUUAUCGGAUGGAGUAUUCGAUAAGCAAUUGAGACAUUAGUUUAACAAUCUAAAUGAGACUAGUUGAUAGCGCAUCGCUCUUUGCGUAUUUGUGUCUAGAAUAGAUAGGUUUAACAGGAAAAAAGUGUUAGCGUCUAGUGGCUAGGGGACCCUCUGAUUUUGGGGGCCUGGUGCGGCCGCACCCUUGGCACCCCCACAGGUACGGCCCUGGUCAGACAUACUGCCAUGGUCACCACAUAGGUUGGCAAGUGGGGAGGCAACUGGAGGUCAAUACAAGGCGAUGAAGCUGUUAGCAAGCAAUCAUAAGUGGAAAGGGAUGAACAAGACAACAGAAACAGACGCGGCAGAAGAGAAGGCUUAAGCGCAGUCGAGGAGAUCAAAGUGCGCCAGCCCCUGGCCAAAUAUAAAUGUGGUUGGGCCACGUUGGGCCAUGUAAUAUGGGCCUCAAUACUGAUACACUUGUGUGACCGCGUCCAUAUAUAAAUGGCGUGUAUCUGUACAGGAGAGGGUAUCGAAGAACAAAAAUAACAAUUCUAUUAUCGCCUUCCCUGCUAUCUUCUUCUUCCCCAUGUCAUAUCUUCCCGUUCUCCACACCUCUAGCGACUGUUAGUUCGUGCCCUAGCCGACAGAGUUGCUAACAGAGAAGAGGGGUGAGGUCUGUCAAGAAUGCCGCCAUGUCAAGUCGGAUUCCGCGCCGCCAUGGAGACAAACGGGGAGGGGUCACGGAAACUGCGGUGGCGCGAGGAGUAGCAUGCUUCGGGGCGACGACACGAGAAGGAGAGAGGAGUAUGUUAGGACACCCGAAGGAGAGACUACUAGGGAAUGGCAGGUGACACAGACGCCUCAGCUGAGAGAUCGAGAACCUCGAAGAAGAGAGGAGUAGGAGAAACAACAGUACCAUGCGUGCCGAUCCGAGCAGGGAGAGGGGCAGCGCGGAGAGGAAGAUGGCGGGAUGGGGCCGACGUUUGCUGCGGUGGUGCGGGGAGGAAUAGUAUGCGGAAGGGGGCGGUAGAACUUCUCAAAGGAUGCAAAUGCACUAGAACUUCUCAAUCACUCACUAGAAUGCGAUCUCAAGCAACAAGUAUGAGAGUUUGAGUUAGAGGAUCACAAAUGAGCUCAAUGUAUGCUAGGAGUGGUCAAGAGAGCCCUCACACACAAGCUCCAUUUCUAUUUAUAGCCCACAACUCAAACCUAGUCAUUAUGUGCAAAUAGCACAACUUCUGCGCACACAUGGACGGUCCACGCCCCAUGGCCGGACGGUCCAUCGUACCAGUAACGGCUAUAAAGACCGUUGAAACCUGUCAGUGCUGUCAGAAAAAGUCAAGCCUGGACGAUCCACCCUCCUGGGCCGGACGGUCCGGGACCUGUCAACAUGGAAUAUCAUAGCACUCGUCAGUUAAAACAAUCCGAGCGGAGUGUCCGCCAUUUUAUGGCCGGACGGUCUGCACAUGGACCACUUACCGUCCGGCUAAAAACCCCGGACAGUCCAUAGUGCAAGGACUCAAAAACACACUUUCCCUGCCCAAACUCAAUUCAGUUUAUGCGGACGGUCCAGCCUCCUGGCUUGGAUGGUAGCGAAGGGAGACAGAGACAAGGCGCCAGCAGACUUCUCUGACAGAGUCGCGGACGAGCUGGCCUCCUGGCUCGGACGUUCUACCAACCACAGAGUUGAUAUUUUUGCGCUUUUUCAAAAGAUUUUGUAUUUUAAAAAACGAAGCGUUGUUAGCCCUCAUGUAAAUGCAACCGUUUAUAUUAUACGAGGCACUAAGUUUUACACCGAUCAAGUUCAUUGACCCCUCUUAAUAGUACGACCGUCUACCCUAUUAAUCCGGUCAAUUUCUUCUCUAAACACCUGCUGACCGGCAAAAAACAAAACCUAUAUUUUUCCUUUGUCUUCUUCACUUGAUCGAUUAGUUUCAUCCAAUUUUCACACUAUUAAACGAUUGUGCUUGAGACUGAUUCAAUUUUUCUUUAGUUGAUCUAGUUGACAAAUUAUUAGCGGCUCCAUUCUGGACACUGAAACCAUGAUAUUAUGAACUAUGUAAUCCAGCAUUGAAUUUCCAAAAAUGGUAUCUAGAAUAAAAGGAGACUUUUCUGUACCUCUGGCAAAAAUAAUAGGUGACGCGGCUCUCAUAGGAAAUAAAUAUUUGACAUAAAGAGGAAGAGGCUCAAUGGGACACCCACAUGGAGUUUCUUUGCACUCUAAUGACAGGCCAAAUAUGAACGACAAAAAAAUGUCAAAGACAAGAAAAUAUAGGAAAGAAAUAUUUGACAUAAAAAGGAAGAGGCUCAAUGGGACACCCACGUGCAGUUUCUUGCCUACAUGUAUAGAUUAGUAGACUGUAGUAAAUGGUCCUUGAUGUCUGGUCAUUUCUAAGGAUAAAUUCUAAUCAUAUUUAACAGCAGUUGUGAAAUUCUUUAGCUUGUAAGUUCCCUUAACGACUGACAAACAUGCAUAUUAUUAUGAAGAGUACCGUAUUAGAACGGCGUAUUCAUUGAAUACAACAAGAAAAACUGAGAACUCUAGGAAUAAAUAAUACUCAUUAUUAUAAAUAAAAAUAAUUACAUCGUGAUACUAAUCUGCACAAGUGUGUUCCGAUUCCAUCUAUAAGAGACAUUUUUAAAGGAACUGAGCAUCAAUUCUGCAACUAACAGUAAAGUUUCUUUGAGUCUAGGUUGGGGAUCAAACAAUCACCUAUAAGAAAGGAUGUGGCGGAAAACUUAUGAUGCUGACAAUCCUUAGAAACCAAGUAGAUUCUAAAGAAAAGUUGCUUCUGCUGCUUCUCAUCUGAAGAGCUUGUUUCAAGUGUUGGUAGCUGGACUACUGGGUAACCAAAAGAAACCUGAGGGUUACCAAGCUCUCACCUAAUCUUUCUCUAGAAUUGCGCAUCUCGACAAGGGCCUUCACUAACUGAUGGGAAAGCAUGAUUCGGUAAUUUAGGCCCCCGAGCCAGAUGAUUUGACUGUAAUGAAAGGCAAAACAAAGGAACCAAUGUCACACCAAAUGCAUAUGGAGUAAACUUCAUGAAUCCGUUGUAAGGUUCUUUGCUUACUCGUGUCCUAUGAUUGUUUCUAGUGAACGCUCAUACUGCACAUAGACCAUUAGAAACCUGGUAUUCAUGAGGAUUUCUAGCACAUCGGAGUUCCUAUGCAACUCAUCACCUUCCUUGUCUUGAAGUCAGGUGGCUGCAGACGAAGCAUAAACUUGUUUGGUGCAAUGACAUGCAAAUCGAAUUGAACCCUGGAAAACAAAUCCUUUACUAUUGAAUAUUUAAGCUAACAAGAUUUCAUGUUUGUGCUCAAAGUAUAUAUGAUAAAGUGGAAAAGCAACAAAAAAAACACUAUGACUAACCUCAUGACGAGGUCAGAGAAGGCUCCCGAGCUGAACCCCUCGACCUGGACAUGGUCACAGAGCACGGUUGCAGUCCCUCGGUCGGAGCUCCGAUUACCAAUGACUAUCUGGGUACAUGACAAUCACCAUAGGACCUAGGAAGAAGCAUAGCGUUAUCCUGCAAGAAGCACACCAUGGCCAUCAAAUGCAGCACGGACAACACCUCAUACCAAGGAUCUGCCAAUGCCAUGGAUGUCUCCUGCACUCUAGUCAUGUAGUACUCUUAAAACAUUCAGAAGAACUUGCAUAGGUGCAUAUACAAGGGGACUCAAUUCUCACCUCAGCCACAUCUUCUUGGUUAGCCCGUACAAACUGCUGCAAUAUUGAUGUCCGAAUCAUGAUAAAUUAUCAGGAAAGCAAUUUUUUAGUGUAAACAGCAACAGUAGGGACAUUUCGCACGUAUAAUCACCUUCCACCAGUUCUAGCAGAGCCUGGAUAGAGGAGAUUAGCAGUGCUAGACCCUCUUGCAGAUCAAAGGCCACAAACAAAGCAAGAAUUCUGUUAUUCACAUUUAGUAUGAAUAACCACGGCAGGGUUCAUAUGCUACAACAACCAUUGUGCUCUUGUACCUAGAAUAAUUAGAGCAUUUGUGCCAGAAAUUCCAGUCACCUGAAAAAUUCAAGCGGUAGAAAAGAAAACAAACAAAAAAGGCAACUAAUGUACCAUUUUGCUUGUUAGAGUAAUAUGUUGGGAUUUUUUUUAUUGUAAACAGCACCUUAUCCACCAACUUAUUUUGAUGUCAAAAGGAACCCAAACAAGAUGAAUCCUGGAUAACAUCCUCUUUGGGGCAGAGGCGGGAUAUUGUACACCAAAGUUCAAACAUUGAAACAUAGCAAUUGCAAAGUGUAAAAAUCCAGAUUACCCUCACUACACAUGCUAAAUAAAUUCACUACAUAAUUAUUUAUCAGUGUAUUUAGUUGGGCUAGUAGCUUAGAUUCAUGCCAAAGUUUGAGUACCGAUUAAGGUUUCUCACACAUGACAAAGGCAGAGAAUUGGCAGUGGGCGUCUUCAAAAGAUUGUCAUUCGUUCAACAAAUCACUGUCGCUUGUUCACACUUUUGUGCCAUGCUCGCCUCUUUCACCUUCUACAUUGUCUCACUUAAUUCCCGACUGCAAGGAAGAAGAAAAAAACUGUCAUAAGGUGCUACAUAGAAAUUUUUAAUCUCUAGUUACAAACAACUGUGGUAGAACUUAAAUUACGCACAUAUAGUCAUAAUUCUUCUUCAUGUGAUAGAAAGUAUGCAAAAUAAUGAGCUAGCCAAAAGAAAGAAAUAUUUUUUUAUCAGAAACAGGUAUAAAACCAAGUUGGGUUGUUCAUCUUUACUACUCUAUUAAGAGUACAACGAAGGCGUCCACACCCCUUGCCCCCGCCUACUGCCGCCCGCGCGCCCCGCCUGCUCGCCCACAGGGCGAGGCAACGCCUCCGCCCCGACGCCCUCGUCUUACCCAUCAGCCGUGCAAUACCCACCCCCAGCCUUCGACCCAACAGAUGACGUGCGGCCGCCGCGCUGCGGCCGCCGCGCCCCGCCCGCUCGCGGCGCAUGCCCCUUGCCCCGCGUGCGUCGUCUCCCGUCACACCACCCCCUCGACCGCCUCGACGUCGGCGCGAGGCUCCAGGCCAUCGGGGACGAAUCCGGGCCAGGGCUCCCGAGCAGGCCACGGUCUACGACGAUGCCUACGAUCCCUGGACCCUGGAUGACACCGACGUGUGAGGUCCUACCCUGCCCCCACCCGCGUGUGUCGUCUCCCCUUGUGAACUUGUGAUCUAUUUUGUUUAGAUACUCUAUGAUUUGAAUUUUCCCUCUUUUUUUGUUAUUUGUCUUCCUUAACUAUAAUGAUUGUGAUAAACUUUAUUGUUGUGGAAUUUCUCAUCUAUGUUACAAGAUAGAUAUUCACCACUUUGAGGUCUGAAAUAAAACAUAAUAGCACUCCUAGGCUCACUUUGAGGUCUUAAAUAAAACAUAAUAGCACUCUUACAUGAUUACCACAUAGCUAUUUACCACUUUGAGGUUUGCAGGUCUCAGGCUCACUUUGAGAGGCUAGCAGAUUUGCUUACUUCAGAUAUUUUGAAGCCUUGUACCAAGCCAUCAAGGAGUAGGGUUGCAUCGGUCUUACUGCCAAUGAUGAUCCAUACAAUGCUAAUGAAAUGAGCCCAAGUGACCAAAGACAAAACCAUGUUUCAACAUCGAGAAAAAAGCCUAUUUCCCUCCCAAAAAGUGACAUAUGUCCCAAAAACCAUGUCUCCACUUUUCCCUCUUAUUGGUUGAUGCCUGACAUAUGUCCUGUUCAAACACAGUUUAUCACAUUUUUCCAUGCACAAAAAAUUAUUUUUCAAGAAAGAGACUAAGAGAGAAUGACGAUGAUAUGAUCCCAAGUCUUAAUUCAUGGUUCACCUGUAGUUCAACAAAUGACAAUGCAACAACUAACAGAGGGACAAUGCAACAACAAUUAGUGGGAGCCAGUUUCUCAUCCUAAAUUAUGUUGAGCACUAUUGAAGAAAAACGAAAAGUAUCAUAGUAAUCUGUCUAAAGCCAAUAAUAUAGUAAAAAAUGACAGUAAAGAAAUAUGGAUAGUGAAACAAAAAAAUGUUAGCGUUAUACACCCUCCUCCUAAUUAUAAGUCGUUUUAGCUUUUCUAGAUACAUAAAGGACUUAUAGUUUGGGCUGCAACAGGAGAGUGUAUAGCAAAAAAUAUCAAUAUUGUGCAACACAUGUAGAUACAACAUUAGGAAUCUUAUAUAAACUGACCAACAAAUUGUAAGAUGCAAGACCAGAGCGAUCCAUGGACAAAUGAAGGAGAGUCAAAAUAUUGAAUUAAUAUGAGUUAGUCUCAUUUAAUAGAUCUUUGACGGACUAAAGACUAAAACAGUUUAGUCCCUGUUUUAUUGCAACUUAUUUGCCAAUUUAGCUACUAAAUAAAACUAAAAUGAAUGAAUUAAUUUUUAGUCCCUAAAACCAAACGGAACGUGGAAUACUGCUAUUAAGAUCUCCAUCAUGAUCGUGACAAAGGUAAGAGCUGUGGUUGAGAAGAGCUUGAACUUUGUCGUGGUUCAGUUUGAUUUUUAACUUUUUCGUGCAGAAUACUCGAG
rnacentral:lncRNA from 1 species